rnacentral:lncRNA from 1 species
GGGGCGGGGGGAAGGGGGGGGGAGCAGGUGCUCUGUGUUUCCGCAGUCUACGUCCGCACACUUCACCACAACCAGGAGCCAGGCCUCCUCUGACACCGGCGCCGACGUGAGUGGGGCUCGGAUAUAUCCCAGUAGCGGGCGGAGGGGGCUCAGUGCGAGGGGUCAAAAGGCGUAUUAUUGGUGGUGGAGGGCGAUGGGCAGUCCCCCGGGCCGCAUGGGCCUCAUAGACCAGCCAACACUCGGUCUGUGUGUGUCUGUGUCUGUGUCUGUGUCUGUGUCUGUGUCUGUGUCUGGUGUCCUGAGGCCUCCCGCCGCCGCCGCCACCCACCAAUCGCGCGCACGUGCAGGACGAGUACACAUACACACACGCCCUAGAGUGCGUGUUUCUUCCCCGGGGCUUGCGGCUGCUGCCCGUGCGGGGAGACGGGGAGGGACUCGACCCGGAGGACCUGGACCGCCGACUACGCUGUGCCGCCAGGGCCGCAGAGGCGGGGGAGUGCCGCCGCCCGCGGCUGCUGUACACCAUCCCCACGGGGCACAACCCCACCAGCGCCAAUUUGAGCGAACAACGCAAGCGGCGCAUACUGGAGGUGUGUCCGUUUGUCUGUCUAUGCAUCUGUCCUCUCUGUGUUGUGUCUCUGUCUGCCUGUCUGUCUGUCUGCCUGUCUGUCUGUCUGUGUGCGUUGGGCGCAAGAGCUGUCUGAGGAGGGAUGUGGAGGGGGCGGCACGUGGGGGCUUCAGCGGAUGCGUGUGUCAGGGCCGGCCAACCGUGUCGUGCUCCGUACGCCGUACACGCAGGUGUGCGAGGCCCACGACCUCCUGAUUCUGGAAGAUGACGCCUACUACUGGCUCUACUACCCGAGUGAGGGGGAGGAGGGGGAGGAAGGCGCGGAGGAGGGCGCGAGCUGCCUCAGCGAGGGGGUAGCUGUGAGCCCGCGGCGGCCCCGCCCUGUCCCCGGCCUCCCUGGACUGCCCAGGUCCUUGCUUGAGAUGGACGCGGGCGGGCGGGUCAUACGAGUGGACACCUUUUCGAAGCUGCUGGUGUGUGUGUGUGUGGGGGGAGAUGGAGGGGGCGAGAGAGGGCCAGGGGGCUGUGUGGUGGUUCGGACCUUGUUCGGGUCGCGGCAGCUUGGGGGGAAGGUACGGAAAGGGGGGAAGGGGUAGUGGUCCGCUCCUGGAGCGCUGCAUCGCCAUCCGGACCAUAUCGGUCUCAAACUGGGCUGAGUUCCCUCCGUAUGUACGGCAGCAGCCACCGCCUAGGAGCCCACCGAGCUCUGCACCUUCCACCCUCCGCUUUGUGCCGGGGGGUUUGGCGCCCCCCCUGUCCGCCUCCCGCCCCCACCCGCAGGGCCCGGGGUACCGACUGGGCUGGAUCACCGCUCCGCAGCCGCUGGUGGCCAAGCUGGCUACCUGGGUUCAGGCCAGCACGGUGGGGCCGUGCAGCGCAGCGCAGGUGGGGGGGGGAGGGGGGCCGGGUGCCGUUGUGGGCGGCGGUUAGGGGUAUGUCGUACGGGUGGAGGCAAGGGAGGUUUGUGCCAGUUUGUGCCAGAACUGACGAGUGAAAGUGCAUUUUCGAAGUGCAUGUAUAGUUUGUACGGCUGUAUUGUGUACGGCUGCAGUAUGUACGGCUGCCGCACGAGCUCAGUGUUUACCACAACGUUGCCUUCCUGACCGCCCCCAGCUGCGCACUCUGUCUGCGGGUGUAUGUAACUGCGUAUGUGUGUAUGUACUUCCUGUAUGCUGCUCCUCAGGUUCUGGUGGGGAAGCUGCUGCAGCAGUGGGGGCUGGCGGGCUUCCAGGCGCAUGUGGGGAGACUGCAGGUGGGGUUGGGGAUGAAGGCAGGGCUGCUGCUUAUUCCCCGUCCCUCUCCCCCUCACACACAUACACGACGUACAUCGCGGCUCAGUUCAACAUACAACAAAUGUUCAUUUCUGAUUCGGUCAUCGCUCACUCAUCCACCACCACCCUGGGGCCCCUUAGCGAACACGGCCUUCCCCCCCCUUUGCAACAAUACACAAGACAUCCCCGUCCUUCUCGUCUGCCUCUGUUGUGCACUCGCUCACUCAACCCCAGGCCCUCUACGCGGCCCGGGCCGCCGCAGCACAUGCAGCGGCGGUGAGCCACCUGCGGGGUCUGGCGGAGUGGCGGCGACCCGCGGGGGGCAUGUUCAUGUGGUUGCAGCUCCUAGGUGCGGGAGCAGUGGUCGUCAUAUACCCGGGGGCGGGGGAGGGGGAGGCAGGAGGGAGCAAGGAGGGAGCAAGGAGGGAGGGACCGGGGUUCGGGUGUGGAUGGGGCUGAAUGACCACAUAGGGUUCGCAAUCCCUCGAGGAGAAAGUGGGAUGUGAUGUCAGAUAUGCCGUAUACCCGCCGUACACCCGUCUGUGCUAGCGACUCGCUUGAUAUCGUAGCGGCGCAUAUUUUAUCUGCCUUCCUGUCAAGCCCCGUACACAGGUGGGGUGAGGUGGGGUGGGGUGAGGUGAGGUGGGGUGAGGUGAGGUGAGGGAGGCUCGCCGCCAUGCACCGCCUGUUGCCGCCCGACCCGACACUGCGCCUCAUGUUGCAGGUGGACUGGAUGCUGCCGCGGUGGUGGACGAGCUGGUGGCGGCCAAGGUGGUGGUGGUGCCCGGGAGCUUGUUUGCAACCAGGGGAGUAGAGGUACGACAAUAAGAACGAAGACUGUAGGGGGCGUACGAAGACUGCCAUAGCACCCCUAACGUGGGGCGGGAUGGGUGCCUCCGCCACCACCACCACUUUAUUCCCGCGUGUGUGCAGGAGAAGUAUCAGGUCUGGAUGGUCGGGUGCAUUGUAUUAUUGGGAUUCGCCGCUACCCACAUCCCCUCACCCACCCACAGAUUGUCCGACGGUCUUGGAUGGUCUUGGUGGGGCAGGUGGAGCAGAGGGCGAAAUAAGCCUAGGCGUCACGGAGACCGUGUGGGGGGCCUGUCAUGUGAACUCAGCUUCAGUUGCUGUGCUCUCGCUCCCUAGCUAGCUAACUGCGCAAGUUCCUGACACCAGGCCACCGCACUCUCACACGCACUUUUACCAACUUGUGUCUGUAGGGGCUUUGGCCUCCGCCUAUUUGUUUUUGUCCUCUCGGCGUUUGCAUUCCAGCUGCGCUGCACAACUUCCCGUUGGCGACUACCGCGCAGGCGACAUUGGAGCCGCCUGAGGCUGCGCACCAGCCUGCUGAUGGUGGCGGUCACGUCGCCUUGCAGCCGAGCAGCGGCGGCGGCAGCGCGGGGAGCCCCAGCGGCGGCUGCUGCCUGCGGCUGUCCUUUGCGGGGUGUGCACCGGAAGUGUUUUCAGAGGGCGUAGCCAGGCUGGCAAGUGUGAUACGCACGGCUCGCUCUCGCUGUAGCUAGGUGGGGGGGCUGGUUGGCCGGUAAGUAGUGCCGGGGAGCUGGGGGGCUGGGGGGCUGCGUCUAUCUGCCGGUGUAAUAUAUUCAACAUGCCGCCAGCGUUUCGGCAGCGUUUGUCCUCCGCUGGCAAAAUGGCAACAUCUAGGGGGGGGUGAGGGGCACAGUGUCUACGUGCAGCGAGCGCUGGAGAGAUGCAUGACGGUUCUGAGGGUUGAAGGCUAAUGGCCGCAACGACAUUGCGAUGACAUUCCAUAAGUCUGCAAAUGUCGUACCAUGUUCGUACAGGUUCAUCGAAGAUGCUCGCUCGUGCUCCUCUCUAGUUGCGAGUCUGAUACUUAUGUACGACAUCCCCCACCAGGCAAAUUGCAUUAAUUUUAUUGGGUGUACAUACAUACAUACUAAUUUGACCUUAGCUCUGUGCAUGAUAAGGCGAAUCUGUGUACAAGGGUCAUGCGCACUGCUGCACAUUGAGUUCGUUGGUUUCCAAGGUUGCGCAGCGGCAUUCUGUGUGGACGGACUGUGCAUUGAAGAGAGAGAGGUUGUGGAGAGGGCCGCUUCUCAUGUUUGCAACAAGGUUGGGAAGGAGUCGGCAAGGGCAUGACCGUUAAUACCGUUGCACAUUAUGUACACUAAGGUGCCAACACAAAUGUAUAUUAAAAUUAUAUCGGCCCUGACCAGGUUGUAGAGAAGGCGACCCUAAAACCCCUGUAGUACUACAAAGCAACGAGCUUUGAUAGGAGUAGUAGCCGCUGCAUCCAAGCACGACACGAAUGCGCGAACGAUAAACUCACGCUGCGACAACCCGCUAUACACACAAUGAAAUACACACACAUUACACGCAGCACCUUUCCCCGGCAACCGCUACCACCAGAGUAUCAGAGGCCCAAAAUAGUCCUCCAAGCUACAGCCUGCAAAAACCGAAAUACUACCGCACUCCCGCAUCCAGCGCUUGUUUAGUUUCUCAACGAGAGCAACAUGCACGUAUGUAACAUCAGCACUUGAAUUCUUUUGGCUUCGUGCAUAACACGAAUGCCGUUCAUGCGGCAUGCAUCAACAUCAAUCCAAGUCGCGCUAUCCAAACACACUCACCGCACCCCCGAGUCGAGCUCCCCUGCGUCGGGGCCGCAUGUCGGGGUUGCUAGUGGAGCUCUAGCAGCCGCUCCCCAGGCCCCUCUGCACUACCUAGGGGGGGGGACCGCAACGGCCCCCUGGCCGCCAAGCUGCGGCUCUAACACACACACACCGGGGUGGGCACUGCCCCGCGUUCCUCUCCUCAUACCAGGUGCUCGCGUAGUGGUGUGUAGUGGUGUGGUGUGUGGUUAGGGAUAACGCGUGUUGUUCCCCCCCAACCUUGCACGGCACACAAACAGGCACACACACAGGCACACACACAGGCACACGCACCCUCGCACCCCAUUAGGAGGCCUCGUCACUGUAAAACAGCAUGUAGGCCUGGCAGGCGGUCACGUCCUCCACACUCACGGCCGUCACCCAGGCGUCAUCGCACUGGUACCAGCUGCCCCCCGCGGCCCCGCCGGGCCUCACGAACACCACGUAAUGGCCCCCCGACAGGUCGCCCUUGUGGCUGAUAACGGCAAACAGCCGGUAGCGGCAACUUGGAACGGCGCCGAAUGGCCCACUGCCACUGUCGCUACCGUGGCUGCCACCACCGGUGUCGACCGCAGGCGCGGCAAUCCCAGCACUCGCGGAGCUUGGCUCGGACUUGACGGGGUCCGUCCAGUUAAUGUCGGGUGGCUGUGGGCGCGGCGGAGCGUCCGUGCUGCCUCCACAGCCGUCCGCAGCGGGAGCUUGUCCAUUGCGCAUGCAGUACCUGACGCAUCCCGCAUGCGUACCGCAACGAACAAGACGGCAAGACAAAAUUAAAAACGACAGUCAUGCGCCUGUGGUGGUUUUCUUUGUCAGGGGCGGUACAAGGUACGACAAAGGAUACUACUGCAUUGGCGACGGAGCCGGGAGCUGCGGGGAGCAGUUCGUGUGGAUUUCCAGGAUGAGAAUGGCUUCCGGACUUCCCACGACACGAAACGCCGGCUGGUGUGGAUAACAACGCAACCCCACACAUAUGCAUGUCUGUCCGUAUGUCUGUCUGUUGACGAAACAGUGUCAUUAAGACCUCCUAAAUCGCCAAGAGCAGGUUCGCAAGGAAAACGCUGGAAACCGCACCUUUCACGCAGGAUAGCUGGUGUCGUGUACGGCGCCAAGUCCAGAGAGAGGGGGAAGUGGAGCUUAGUCUGCACGGGACAGGGACGGAAGGGAGGCCAGAGCUCCUCUUCUCUUAGCGGCGAGACAUCCAUGCAUGACGAGCUGAUGGCGGCGGGGGGGACUCUGCACACCUCUGGUGGUGAGGGCCGUUAAGCGAGCAAACAAAUGAUAACCCCAACCGUGCCGAAAGCGUCUGGUGACAUGUACGACACAGUUUGACAGCUCCCAAGCAGUCCGCUACUUGGCCCACCUGGAUCUUCCUGGCGGAGUGGCGGCCCCCGGGGGGGGGAGGAGGAGGUCGGCUGGGCGCCGCAGCCGCAGCAGUGCUCCCCCCAUGUGCCUGUCCCCCUACAGCUGCGGACUGCGAGGGCGGCCCUCCGUGCGGCUGACCCGCCUCCGAAUCCGGUUGCUGCGACUGGUAGUGCUGGUGGUUGUGGUCGUGAUGAUGGUGGUGAUGAUGGUGGUGGCGGUGCUCGAACCGCUUCACAUGUAGCGCCAGUACGGGCGGCAGGCGGCGUAUGGAGAGCUGCUUUACAGCGGGCUGUUGCUGCUUACAGGCGCUGCAGACCCAGGCCUCCCCCGCGGACAGCCGCUCCGGAGUGACGAAGUGGCGCAGACAGCCCUGCAGGGUGGCAUGGCCAACCGCUCCCUGCGCGCAGCGGGGCACGGACGGCUGUGUGGGUCAGGUGGCCCUCACCACAGGACUUCGCAGUCGUUCAGCGCCGCUGUGUGCAGGCCUUCGAAAUGUACCUGUCAUGGCACUGCGAUCCUUGUGACGUCUCAUGCGCGCGGAUAAGUGGGCUUAGCGCUUGAACCCCUGUUGACAACACAUAGCUGAAUAGGACUGUGGCCAAGGAAAACAGUUCAUACCUACCAAUUGCCGCACAUUGUUGAAAAUAGUUUGGCAUACCGCAGCUCGUAAAGAUAGUGGAAUUAGGCGCCCCUACACCUGGUGCAAACUAGAGCCACUGAUCAGGUUGCCAACGUCCCAACCGCCCCUGUCAGGCCUCUGACCUGCGCCGAGUGGGGCCCAUGUACCGCAUCGGCAGCCUGACUCGCUCCGGGCUGACGGGUCGACCUAGGGUCCGUCAUCUGCGCCGACGAAGCCCCCGGCUGACCCAUCUGGGGCACAGCGCCGCUGCCGCCACGUUUCGCCGCACCAGCGCCUCCCCGCAUCACGCGACCGCCCGCACCCCCUCGGCGGCCCCGGCCCCGGCCGCGCCCCACCCUGCCUGUCCCCACACCCGCAGCGCCCCCUCGGCGACCGCCCCACGAGCUGCACGGCGCCUGCCCCUCGGGACAUGAGGCCGAUGGCUGCGAUGUUGCCAGUGGGGCCUCAGCCGCACCCUCUUCCGGGUCCUGGGCUCCCGGGGCAGCCGUGUCCUCCGCGCAGGAAACACUGGCGCCGGGAGUCGCACCGCGGCUGCCGGGGUCGCCGGCCAGCAGCCCAUAGUCAGCUGCCGGAGCAGCGGCUGACGUUUGCGGCUCCGAAACCUGCUCCGUGGCCCUCUCCCCUGCGACCGAGCCACCUUGUGAAGCGCCAGCCCCCGGCAGCACCUGGGGGACAUGCAGGUAGUCCAUGAAGGUGAGUCACACGUUGGGUGCACGAAUUCCAACUCCGCAAGCUGGUCGACCACCUAAUCCGCAAGGUGCUCAAUGUGACGAAUAUCGGCCACUACUAUUUCGCACUGGCGGAAGGCGUCACCCCCCAAUUAUCCAGCUCCAACGGGCUCUCACUCUGCCACCGGAUCCGGUACAUACAUACAUACACGCUUAAGAUUCCUCCUCCUCCCCAUCCUCCUCCCCAUCCUAAUCCGUCCCCCCUCGCACCGCCCGAUCCACCAAACACCCUGAUCCCUUCCUCUCUUGCUCUGCCUCCUUGCCUGCUGAGAGUGCUGCUGCACCGGCAGCGGCUGCGCAUUGGCGCCCUUCUCAAAGCCCACACGCGGGGAGGUGAUGCAGUCGUCCGGCUGGUUGGAGGGCGAGGCCGCACCUUCCACCGGGCCGCCAACACCGCCAUCAGCAGCGCUUUCUGCGGCCGCCAUCGAGUCGCUGGUCGUGCGCGGGAGGCCCUCCACUGCUUCCCUGGAACCACCAACCGCCGCAACCGCCAACACGGCCGCAGGCUUGUUGUCGUACCUGCCAGGGGCACCCGUCGCUGCUGCUCCUGCCGGAUGGCUCCCCAGGGUCCCCACCACCGGAGCACCGCCGUGCGCUCUGACAGCUGCACCCGAGUCCUGAGCUAUUCCCGUGACUGAGUUCGGUGCGGCGAGGGAGGGAGGGGCAGGAGGGGAACCAAGAUCGGAAGCUUGGUUUCGCAAUCUCGACAUGUCGGCGGUGGGAAGUCCUCGUGCGUGUUUGCCUAUAGGGUGCACAUAGCACUCGCCCUCUGUUUCACUUUCACAAAGAUUACCAGCUUGGCAGAGGUAGGCCUGCUUUACGAAUCCACCUAUGCUGUUCCGUUGAGCGACGUUAACACGGUGCCCAGGAGGGACAGCGAGUCCGCACCAUCUUGCCCCUUGACCCCGUGGCCCCCUGGCCCCGCAUGCCCCUGCCGCCCUCGCACCCAACCCCUCCACACCCCUCCCGCACCUGUGGACCCCGGGAAAGGUCCGCAACUGUCAUCUGACGCGGUGCUGGUGCCCUGUGCACAGCAACACAUAAAAAUACACACACACACACAUCGCGGGCGGGGAGGAAAGGGAGAGAUGGCACCUCCACCGACGCCUUCAUGGGGACAGCAUCUGACUGCUGGGACCACGUCCAUCUCGUCUGUGUGCAACAACCGGAAACGGAGCGGACAGGGCGCCCCGGUGCCGACGCCCGCCCGCCCGCAUUCCGAUGUCCAGGUCGCAGGUCGGCCGGAAGAGUGCGGGGAAUCACACACCUCCGUGCACAUGUAAAUCCCCUGUCACGGCGCGGCACAGUGGGGUGGCAGUGCAGCCACCAGGGCCAACCUACUCACCUUGCUCCGCAGAUGCAGGUUGUGAACAGCCCCUGUAGGGAAACCUCGCUCGCAGUGCCGCUGCCCCUCACUCUCUCCACCCUCCUCGCCCUCUGUGGGUACACCGCCGCUCCCCGUGGAGGGCGAGGCGCAAGGGCCCUGGUGGCUGCGGCCCGGCUGGGCCUCAUCGCCCUCCCUCUCUCCUUGCUCCUCGGCAGCCAGAGCAGUACCAGUUACGCCCGAAAGGGAUCGCGACGGGGAGGGCACGGACAGCGUGGACAGCGACGAAGGUCCCCUGCAUGUGGAGGCGGAGGGCCGGACAGCCACCGCAGCUGCCCGGUGGGACGCGCCGUCGGGCUCGGUCUCCUCCUCCCCUUGGGCGCCGGCCAGCAGGUUGGGCGCCAGAGUGGGGGAGGAGGCGGGCGUGCUUUCCGACACGAGCGGCCUACUGCCGGCAGGUGUGUAGGGCAGGUGCGGUGGGCCCGGGGCCACUGCGACCUGCAUGCCGGCCCGGGCGAAGGUGGGCAUGAUGUCUUAGUUCCGGGUAGGAAAGGCGAAUGCGACUUAGGGUUUUUAGGCUUCUUCCCAUUUGCACCUAGGGGGCGUUUGUAACUUCACAUCGUCAGAGACCUGUGUGCAUCCGGCUAGCUUGUCAUGGUGGUAACAUGCGCUCCCAGAGAACCAGGAUUGUCCCCUUCCCUGACCCCGGACGCACCAUGUCCAAAGAUAUGUCUAGGAAAGGGUCGUACGCAGUGGACGUGUGACCACACACAGAGCAGGUCACAUCGCUCCGCAGCACCCCACCGAACACGGCGUCAACCAGCGGGACAAGACCGCGGCCGCGGCAGCUGCCGACCCCCGUGUUGGGCUGCACGCCCGCUUCCGCCACCGCCUCCGCCUCAGCGGCCCCAGCGGCACCAGUUGCUGCAGCCGAGGGCUCCGCCCCGCCAGUGGUCCCUUCGCCUCUGGCCGCCUGCGGCUCCCCACACCGGCCUGCAGAGCUGCGGCACAGGACGGCAAGACCGACGCACUCAUUCCGGCAGAUCAGCACAGGAAGCAGCUUCCAUCAGACCAACAUCAUACACGGCGUGUGCACACAGUACUACUAGGAACUCACUGCGCCUUGCAACUCGCGUAACCCCCACCCCACCAUAUCAACAACACCCUGCACCAGAGUUCAGCACGCAAAUGGGUUCGCCCCGUCUCAUGAAGUACGGUGUAGUGGCCACUGUACGAACCUCUGCACUGCCGGCUGCCGACUUCCGCUCCCAGGCGGUGACCUCUCCGCUGCCGCUCCAUUCGACCCCCCCACCGGCUCCGAGAGACCCGCUUUGGCCACCGGAGGAGGACUGCUGCCGGCACCACAGCCGCCCUCCACCUGAACGCCGACACCGCUGUGGAGAGUAUCAAGAAGGUCACGUGGUGCGCGGGGCAAGGAGGCAGAAUGGGGCCAGAUGGACCAGCCAGUAUCCCAGGUAAUUACCGCUUGGGCCACCAAAUUGUGAAUGUUCGUCCACAGGUGUCCUACCGAGUGCCUCCCAAGCACCAGACAAGCCGUUUACUGCUAAUGAAGGUACCGACGGCCCAACAGGAGACGCAACGCGUUGCCGUACGAGGUCACAUCCUUAGUUAAGCGACCGACAUAUCCCGCUUACCCGCCGGGGUCGCAACUGCCCCCUCACUCUCUCCCCCCGGUGGUUCACCUGAUGGCAUGUGGCUGUCUGGGCCCGGACGCUGGGCUGGUGCUGGCAUGCGGUGGCGCCACUGGCUCCGAAAUCACCGCCGCACCGAGACCUGACAGCGCGGACAGAUAAAACUCAUGCGCGUCUUGCUGCCGGUAGCCUGUGGGGCGCGGUGGCAGUGGUCAGCAGUGGGCAGCUCGGUAAGAGCUCUUACCGGCCCGGCCAUUACCAAGAUGAUGUGACCCUUGCGGUUGUCCUAUCCGGCACUGACUGUACCUGCCAGGCUGUCGGCAAAUGUCCACCACGAGUACAGGAAGUCCGUGGGGCUGAGGGGCGCCCGGUCGCCCGAGUAGGCGGCAGCGAACACCGCGUCCUGCAGAGGGAGGGGCGGCGGGUGGGAGCAGCCGGGCUGGUUCUCCCUAACACACAUGCGGGCACAGGAUUUCUGCAGACGGCCUUGCCUUGCAUGACAUGGACGACCUGGGCACAGGUAUGAGACAUCAGCUCGAUAGGUAGAUAUGGGAGGGGGGCGCGUGAUAGAGAGGGGGGUUACGCCAGGCAGCAGGUGCCCAGCAGCUCUCAACUGGCCAGGUUGCAGCUUACUCUCUGAGCAAGUAGAGGCCCGGGCCCGGGCAACGUACCAGUUCGCAGGAUAGGCAGGGGACCCCGGGCGACUUGCCAUGCCUGAGGCACGCGCUUUGCGAAUGCCCCUGGCCUAGGAAGUAGUUCCUCAUCAACGGCGAGUGAAUGAAGACCUGCGGCCGCCACGACAUGGCAUACGUAGUGCACAAGACUUCACGAGGUGUGCUCACUCGCGCCAGUAGCCCGGCAGCAGCUGGUGGUGUUGGUGAUCAGUCUGCGCACUUACGCGGCGACUUCCAGUGAUAAUUCUUAAGAGGUAAUGGACGAAGAAACAAUACAAGCGAGCAUGCCUAUGAUCCGCGGCAGGACUACCGAGUACGAACCGUGAGUCCCCACCGACCUGCAGAACGCUGUUCAUGAAGCACGUGUUCCCCAGGUUAUUCAGGCCACGAAGGCCGGCUGGAAACCCAUCUGGUGUGACGUCCACGCCACAAGUAGCAGCCGCCCAUCCAAAGGGCGCGACCUUGUUCACCUGCAACCAGGAGCAUGUCCCGAUAUGCAUGCAUGGGGGCGGUGGUGAAUAAAUGCAGGCAGUCUGACGUGUCCGCACCGGGAUGUCAGCCGCCCACCAUCUGGUGUGGUGUGGGGCGGGGUACCAUACCUGAAACCCUGGUGUGCACUCCGUACCGCCGUGAUCAGCUGUGGUGCUUGCGUGCAAAGCAGGUGCAGCUGCGUGUGCUCGCUGGACUGCCAGUACUGGAUCUUUAGCGGCUCGGGCCCGUUUGGUUCGUACAUCGGGCCCCGGGUCGUGAUGUGGUAGCCCGGGCCUCAGGCCCCGGUCGAGGUAACGCCUUGCGACGUGGGCGAGCUGCAAUCACGCGGGCAGGGCUCGGUCACCGAGUGACACACAGCUGGACACACGUCUGGGCCCGGGUGGCACAUGGAGAGGCGGUGGGCAGUGUUGGGGACAUCACUCGUGCGAACCUGGCGGCCUUCAUCAAACGUUGAGUGAUAGACGUAGUCAUUGCAGGUGCAGCAGUACAACUCCGAUCGUACAAUAUCGACGAGCAAUCCAGAGCCUAACAAGACAUGUUCAUGAAGGGAAGGAGUUAGAUAAGCCAAUCCUGAAAGGGGGUAGGCUAUGCACAAAUUACUUACCACACGCGCACCCUCGGAGCAAGCUGCGCCCUGCUGUAUCUGCUUCUGCCGCAACCCCACAUCUGUGGGACACUGCUUGUCCGCACGCGCAGCACGCGUGGGAGGCGUUCGGCGAGAGCCGUGAACUCUGCGAAGUGGACACGGAACCGGGUUUUGAGGCUCGCCGCCCCCAGACUGCCGAACUGACCAAGAAAAGAUGUAUGUGCCGCGAGAGAGACAAACUAAGGACAAUAAAAAUGCUAGGGAGAAAGCUCUUCGGAGGUGACGACCUGACAUUUCCCGUGGCAAACGUUGCAGGCAAGCCCAUGGCCCAGGUUCUGACAACCUUACAUGUUGAAGGAUCAUAUUCCCAUAAUCCAAGGAUGAAAACCCCAUAUUGACAUGGGAACAGGAGCCCUCCGGCCUUGCACGUUUCAUAACGGAGCCUGCUCAAAAUUCCGCAAAGCCUCCCUCUACCUAACACGCCAUACGGUAAUACAGGUAUGCAGCUACUUUGUGGGAGUUAAGGUGUGUAAACAGAGUAGGGAAUAAAACUACAACGUUCCGCUCCUUUUUUUCGCCGUUGCCAGGCAUGCGACUGUAAAGAAUAAUAACAUUGGAAAAUAUGAUGUUAAGUGUUCUUGAGAUUGGGCUUCCUUCUGAUACUAGGAAUGAUGGCCCUCAACGAACGAGCCAACCGACCAGUGGCCAUGCCGGUGCCCUUUUCCAUGCCUCAAGGAUAGAUUCACUAGGAUGCAAUGACUGAAACACGGAGGGAAUUUACUGCGUCUGGUUUUUAUAUUGUUUAGGAAACGUAGUUGCUCGCCUAUGCUCACUGUUGGCUGUAACUCAACGACAUCCCCAAAACAACUAACUAUUUAUCAUACCAAAAAAUAUGUUGUUGGGAGUUGCGGCCGACCUGCUCAGCGCAGACGAGCCUCGGACGCAUUACCUUACGAAGAUUGGCGGCGCGCCAUAUGUUCCUUCAGCGCGCUGCGGAUUGAAGCUCAGCGGCUGCGACUGGAAGCGACUAACGAAAUGCAAGGUUUGCGGAAAUGACCUGUCGUUGGUUUUCCAGGUAUGGCGGUUUCUAUCAGUCGGGUAUUGUCCGUUGUUAGGGUUCCCCCAAUCGCCAUGGCGAUUACAGUACCAGAUGGGACAAUUUGUAUUACGUAGAAAAACGAAGAUGCUUACCGCAUUUCCCGUUGCCGCUCCCUUUCUGUUGUCAAUGGAAGUGUUUUCCAACCGAACUGUUAGAUGUGCGCCACCGGGAACGUAACGAGGGUCUUUCCACUUCGAACGUGCGCUUCAGGAUGGUUGAGCUGCAGAAAUCACUCAUAAAACAACUGACAGGCGUGGGGGCCACCGAAUUGGCUGCUGUCCGAAGAGCUUAGCCAGUAUCCGCUACAAGUCCAUAGCGUGGAUUUGAUUUUCUGUUUUUGGGAUCGUAUGGUAGAGGCGAAGGGCACGUUGUAUAUUCAUUGUUUUCAAGAAAAGCUUUGCCUGGCCUUCACUUCUACUGACGAUGGCUGGGAACGAGGUGCAUCAAAGCAUUGGGUUACGGCGUAGGUUUAGACGAUAAGCUCUUGAAGCUAGAGUAGAGACCGCGUCAUUGCAUGUUCUAAACAUAAUGCUUAGGUUGGGCUCUACUGGUAAGUCACGGACCAUUGCCCCCGGGAGAUUCCGGGAUAGAGACCUGUCAGGAUCGAAAAUCCUUCCGAUGGUGGACGGUAAAGUGCCCCUAGUUGAUGGGCGAUGGUGAUCUUGGAUGAAGUUAACCUGCGAGCUGACCAGGGGUGGAGUCGGGCCGCCGUCGAUCCGGCAGAUUCCAUUAGAUGCUGGUGGUGAGUGCGGAACCUGACCGGCCCACUGAGAAGUUGAUUAUGAUGACUAGACGAGGGUGCCCCGAAAUACUGGGGAAGGCAAGGUUUUGCCAGGUAGCGGCCACGGGUGAAGAUAUGCCCCCCUGUCCCACACAUUAUAGUUCGGUUGAUGGAGGAGGUCCGGGACCGGUUUGAUGAUGACAGGGCCAGUGAGAAGCUGGCGGUGGAUCCACAUGUGUUCGUUUCCGACAACAGCAACCGGGAUGAAGAUGUGCCGAUACCUGGGGUGGAUGGGGCAACCCAAGCACUGUGAAGGCUAUCUUGUCGAGGCAACACGUCACACUGGUGCGCUUUAGGAUGUGUGUUUGGCCAUUGGCUGUUAACUGGCUGCAUGGCAGGGAGCAUGCCUCGCGGUGGUAUAGGGUCUGUCAAGGCGAACGACACGUGUUGCUCGAAUGUCCUGCAUACGGAGACGUAGGCUGCAGUACAUAAAGGACUAAUGCGGUUCACGAGGCUUUUUUUAAUCACUUUAUUAUUAUUAUUAUUAUUAUUAUUUAUUUUUAUUAAUUUUUUUCCAUUGCUAUAAAAAUCGUCAAGACAAACGUUACUCUGUUGCCACCCUUUUUUUGUUUGAUAUGCUGACGUAGGCUUAUGCACCUAUCGGUGAUUCUGUUGACCGCGUGCUUUUCCUGCUGGGUUGCACGCGGCCAGGCUGUGGGAACGAUUCCCGUUGCUGGCGCGCCUUCCGGUGUCAGAAGGCCCCUCCGACUGCGGCAAUGACUCAAACUGAAUGCGGGUAUGAGGACGAACCCAUCUCCACCUCCACCCCCACGUCUGGCCUGGCCAAACGAGAGACACCACCUGGACCGAAACCAGCAGCUGUGACGGCGGCUCCAGAUUAUAAUGGGGCCGGCGUGCCAAACGUUUUCGGAAAUGGCUUCGACUGUGAUGACGGGUUCAGCUUUGGUGGCGACGCGUCUGACAAGCAGGGAUGCACCGGUGGUUUCGCAAGCAGUGCUGCCUUAGACUUUUCAGACCUUGGGGCUAUCCUGGAGGACUGUGCGGUACAGCAGCUGCAACAGUCUAACUUGGGUAAGCCGGAGGUUGGGAAAGAGUGCACCGGCGGCAGUGGUCCCGACUCCCCACGGCACCAAGCAGCAGACUGCACGCCCAGCGCAGAACUUCCUCUUUCCGGACCCACCUUGCCGGAGUUUCACAUCAUGGCGGUUGAAGAACCUACAGGUAGGCAGGUAUGUAUGUAUGUAGGUAGGCAGGUAUGUAUGUAUGUAGGUAGGCAGGUAUGUAUGUAUGUAGGUAGGCAGGUAUGUAGGUAGGUAGGCAGGUAUGUAUGUAUGUAGGUAGGCAGGUAUGUAUGUAUGUAGGUAGGCAGGUAUGUAGGUAGGUAGGCAGGUAUGUAUGUAUGUAGGUAGGCAGGUAUGUAGGUAGGUAGGCAGGUAUGUAUGUAUGUAGGUAGGCAGGUAUGUAUGUAUGUAGGUAGGCAGGUAUGUAUGUAUGUAUGUAGGCAGGUAUGUAUGUAUGUAGGUAGGCAGGUAUGUAGGUAUGUAGGUAGGCGGGUAUGUAUGUAGGUAGGUAGGCGGGUAGACAUGUAGGUAUAUAGAUAGAUAGGUAAGCAGGCGAUUAAAAGGGAAUUACCCUUGAGGCAUAAUGCUUGCACCUGGGUGUGUAGGUAAGACAAGGGCCCCAAGCUAAAAGCAGCAUUACAUACCCAGCAUACGUUUACCGCCAUUAUGGCAUCUGAUACCCUAGGUAGUUAGCUGUAGUAUGGCAGUGUGUAUAGAUGAACAUAGCAUCAUACUCUUCCAGUUCACGAGGCAGCCGGUUCAGGUUGUAUGACCUACAUGUGUGAUUAUACACAUGUGUGUGUGCGUGUGUGUGUUUUAUGUAUAUGUGUGUCGAACUUCAUGCAGUGUGAGUUGGUUGAAACAUGCUAGUGUCUUAUUGCCUCCAGCUUAUUGCUCACCUACACCUUUCCUACUUGAGGCAUGGGAUGGAGCGCUGCUCUCUGAUGGAGAGUUAGUGGGCAGCAAGCAGCAGCCCGGCAGCUAGCUGGGUCAUCCACUCUCUCCGCCAACAACGCAUUCCCCCCUUGCAUACACCAGGGCAACGGAACGUGAUGGGCUCGGCUGAUGAUGUGGACCGUGUACAACAGCUGCUGGAGGAGUAUGAACGCCAGGAGGGACAGAGGAAUCAGCUUUCUUCGUCGUCAUGCAGGCUGAGAGCGGCAUCCAGCGGCAGCAAACAUGAUGGGCACCGGGCUGCUGCUGGUAGUGGUGGUGAUGGUGUGCAAGUAGCCACUUACACCUCCGGGGCAGCAUCCACUGAUGCAGACAGGGAUCGGACAGCGAAGAACGCUGCUGCUGUGGUGGCUGGUACUGGCGGAGUUGUCCCCUGCAGUGAAGAUGGAGACGAUUUGGGUUCUUGGGCUGGGGAGGAGUACGAAGAGGAUCAUGUCCGGGGUGUGCAAGGGGCAUACCUCAAAUAUGCUGCACGUCUAGCUCGGCAGCCUGAUCAGUGUGCAAGGUAUGCGUGGUGGGGCCGCUGCUGUCUGGCAUAGUGUUAAAGGCGGGGUUAUAUACCAAUCAAGUCGGAUCACGGUAUGUUUAUGUAAACAUAGGUUCCACCUUGCAUGCUUGUAGCCAUGAGGGAUGCUACUUAGCUUGUGGAAUGCAGUUUUAGGUAUCUUAAUGGACAGAGUACUCGAUAAUUCUGUGGUAUACCCACCAGUUUGGACCUGGCUACCUGGCUGGUCGUCUCCUCAUUAGCAACUGCAUCGUUUGGUGGCUUAUUUUCACCUGCAGUCACUUACAAUACCCCUUCAUCUAUUUUCUCAUAAAACCCAGCAUUUGUAUAUUGGACAUUUUGUGUUUUUGUGUUUCAUUUGUUUGUUAUUGUUCAUUUUGUGGCUUCAUUUUGUGGUUUUGUGGUUUGACUUCAUUCCAUUCAUGGAUGAGCAUUCAGGUUAUUGUUACUUCGAUUCCAUGUGUCUGCAAGCUGGGCAAUGCGGUGCUUGCCAGGUGGUUGUGUUCUCCUUGUGGACAUGGCAUCUACAUGGCACAACUGCUCACAAACCACCCCAUCAUUUGCCAUUGCACUGCACACAACAGAAAACGCGUUUGUUCCCCUGCUGAGUCAUGGCCUUAUCAUGGCCACUGAAGGUGUGAUUGUUGACCUGCUUAUUACUUGACAGGUACUUGUGGGGUGGUAAUGUGCUGUGGCCUUUGCAAGAGACCCCGCAGCCUGCACCAUGUACAUGUUGUGGGGCUCCAAGGACAUUCGAGGUGCAGCUCAUGGCGCCGGUUUUGGCCAUGGUGCUGGACUGUGCAGAGUGGCUGCAAGGCUUGGAGCUCGAGAUGCACCGGCCCGCCAUCAAUGCAGCAGCAAAUUGGGAUUUCACAACACUUGCAAUUUACACGUGUAGUGCCAACUGUUACCAUGGGCGACUGCUUUCUUCGAGCCCUGACCUGCAGCAGGAGGACACCGUGCUGGUGGAGGAGUAUGUUGCAGUGGCGAAUGAAGAUCAGAGCCAUGUCCGUGAUGAGCUGAAGAUAAUGUAGGAUCAGGCCCAAAUCAUGGACCAUGCCAUCUACAGAGCGUGGUUACGCUUUGUUACUGCAUUAGGCCGAUCUAAGCACGGUUGGAACACAGUUGGAUCUGACCACCUUUUUUUACGGGUAGUAAAGGACAGUUUGCUUUGCAUGAUCCGCUCACAGACGAAGGUGACGGGUACCACCCCUGCGUGAUUUGUUUCAGAUGCAGCUUGCUAGGAAGGCAGUCCCGUUUGGCUGCCCUUCUUCACUUUGAGGCAUCACUAGUACGCCAAUAUUCGUAGGCAUGAAUUUGUCAUCAUAGGGAAGCCAUAUUAGCAAAAUCCCCCUGUGGCAUCAGUGCUAGUCUGGUCUCAGUCGUAGCCAAGCUUGCUGAUGUGUUGUAAAUGCCGGUACGGACCACAUGUUCUUCCUUUCCACGCCUGUGUCUAUUACAGCGACAGGUAAUGGUUUCUUUUUAUUAUUACAGAGUGGGAGGCUUCUGAGCUCAGUUUCUUUGCCUUACAGUAUAAAAACUUGGUAGCCCGUUGUAAUAACAACAACAGUAUGACGACAGUAUACUGUUGUUAUACUGUCUAGGUGCCUGCUGCCUAAAGGAUGUAUCACUAGUGAUGCCAUCCUUUAGGCUGCUUUAGGCAGCGGGCAGCUAGACACCCCUGCCCAUUCACAGCUCUCAAACGUACAGCGAAUCUUUGAGGCACCGCUCAUAAUGAGUAUCCAUGGAUAACGUACUUCAAUUGGAUGCUAAUCAUGCUUUUCAAGCAGAGUGCGAUUUGUACAGCGGACCCCAAACGGGUCACAGAGCACAACACUGUGGUGUCACGACAUUUUAGCGUCACGUUCAUUUUACCGUCUUUUAUAAUCGUCUUAGGUUAUAAUCGGUGUGAGUACGCGAAUUUCGUGUAUUAUCGCGUAAGGUGUUUGGUUCUUAUCUUACACUUCGCUGAUCGACUCAUGGACGAGAUGCGAAUGUACGCUCGUUUGCGUAUGUUUAUGCAUUUUACCUGUGAAUUGUUCAUUUCUUGUGAAUGUUCUGUCACACGAUUAUAAGGUGUUUUCACUUGUGUCAUUUGUGGACUAUACGUCGUGGUCGUACUCGAGGCUUAUCUUUGAGGGCCUCCUGUGAUCGACAGUGAGACUUCGGUAUUUAUAGCCGGCAGCGAGCUUGGAAAAGUCGCUUUACGGCUCAUGAUUGGAACAUUGUAAAGUUCUCUGAGCUAGACAACAAGCCCUGUGCGGUCCUCCCUUCUCGUAAGCCGCAUAAGUAACUUCUUUCCACCAGCCGAACUCCUGUGUGGGCCACUCAACGCCCAUAUCCUUCACGCCGGGCACACUCAGUUGGUGAGGUAAAUCUUUGCCGCUGUUGAUUAAUUGCCUGGAGGGAACUCUGGCCCCUUGCGCAGGUUGCCAUUUGUUUAGUGUCACUACUUGCCCUUUUUGUCGUCAAGUCAGCACUUCAAGCUACCUGCAGGACUUCGCCAAGCCACCCUGCAUUCCAUAGCCGUAAAGCCUAAAUCAGGCUAGAAGACCAAGUAAGUUCGGUUUUGGGUUUACCUUAGGUGUUCUGUCGCCUAGGGGAUAUUCGGGUUGCUUUUCCCAGCACCCUUUUUGGUAGGUUAGGCAGGCUAGGUCACGCCAGCCGCAGCCGGUCAGCAGUGUUACGCACAGCUGCCCUACCAUUCAGCAAUUUCGGGCCAUUUUCUACUGGGUCGAUUUGCUUGUGUAUUCGGUCACUUUUACAAUCGAUACUGUGUCACGCACAGCCGUUUUUUGAACACUCGAUACCGAAUACUUGAUACGAUCCACUCGUUUUACCAUCUAGGCUUGGUCAGCCCAGCCUAACAUUAUUCUUAUAUAAUACAUUCAGCUCACCUUAACAGUAGGUUCGAGCUUUUCUGUGCUUAACGAGCAUUUCGCGUACCUCUGGCCGAAUUAUACGGGGUCACACCAAUUCUUUUGCUUUCACUAGCCUCAAUUCGCUACUGCAGUUUACAUCGAGGCAGUUAACCCCAGGCCACGCAGAGGACGCCCGGGGCGCAAUCCCUUUUGGUUUUCACACCAACACUUUUCUUCGUCGUGGUGUUCGGGCCACUCCAGUCAGACACCGGCACCAUCGGCUGAUUCCACAUCUUCGAGCCUCUUGGCAAAUCUCCUGUACUCAUUUACAUAGGUCUUUUGGCUCGCGGCGUUAGGGUCGACAUCGAGCCGCGACCGGUCAUUUGCAAUAUCCUGGACCAGCUUCUCAGGCCGAGGCAAACUAUUGUUAUCAGCACAACAGGUGGUGCAAUUUCCUCUAUUUGAAUACGGAGACUUUUGUACGCCUAAGCGCAAUGAUAUGAUGGAGUAAACGCUGCAAGCUUAUCGAGUCGGUACUCCACUCUUUCCCGACGCAGCGUUACUAAUUAUUCCAGCUGUUUCACGCAGCUACUCUUAAUUUUUGCAGCUCAAUACAACGCAACUUUUCAGCGACACCAGCUUAGGUGGGGCGGGUGUAGUACUCUUUAGUAGUCGCUAGGCUUUUUAUUGCUUAGUCCUUGCCUGUUCGCUUCGCGUUUGUUGCUGCAUCUUUCUCUUUUCCUUUUUCUCAUCUUGUUUUUCGUAAGCUAAUUAUUACACAGGGAAGCAUAAGUCCCACGGAGCCUCUACGUCGCAACAUCCCGCGGGCCGCCACUGCGCAACAUCUUCGCUCGACUACUCAGCGAGAUCAGCAGGAGGUAAGCAAGGUUUCGCGUAAGGAUACACGUAGGGUGUCCACCUCAGGGUCUAGUACUAGCGAAGCCGCCCGUAUUCCGCGCUCGCGUUCCGAUAGUGGCUUAGCAGUACAGGUGGAACGUCCCCUGACUAAGUUAGCUCAAACUGAGGGUGAGGUUGCUGCUCCACUAGAAACCCUCGGAACAGAUUCCGAUAGGGAGAAGUGGUCGCGUCUCUUUGAAGCGCUAGGUAGGCCCCGCACCUACAUCAACCCUAUAUUUUCUAGGGACAGCGAUUCUGACGACGAAAUCAUGCAGAACCUUUACCCUACCCUCGACCCGUUCCAGCACAACGGGUUGGAUGACUUCCUCACCAAGGUUUUUCAGCAGGGAGUUGCCUACCCGCUCACUAGGAACAACUUGUCUGUUGAGAGCCUCAAAUCGUACCUUGACGCACUGCCUGGUCGUAACACGCCAUUCGAGGCGUGGUACAACUCCCACAGACAGGACCUCGUAGCCAAAGCUGCAGCGCACUUCAGAGUAGCUGAACCAGGUGCGGCGGCCAACGCAAUCUCUCCUCGCCAACUGUACGACUAUUAUGCCCACAUUUUAGAGGAAAACUUUGCCUCCGCGCGCGCGGAAAGUGAUCUUGCGCGCUUCAGAAGCAUGCAGCAGGGAGCUCUCUCUCCCAUAGUCUUCAAGGAUAUGCUGCUAGCGCUGGAGAAAAAGCUGGACGGUAGGGUCAGCAAACACCAGGUCGCGGAACGUUUUCUAGAGGGCUUAAACCCCAUGGUUCGGCAUCACCUGGAGAGGCACCUCAUUACCGUGGAGCGUACCAAGUGGUACGAUCGUUUGGAGAAGACGGCACAAGAGGCUGAGGUUGUGUGGAACAACCUUCCGUUGGAGGACGGAGCAGUGCAGGUACACAAAAAGCCGCCGCAGCAGAAGAGUGCAGCAAAACCGCUUAGCGAGGAAAAACGCACCUUUUACUGCGAGAAGCACGGCACCAAUAAAUCUCACGAUACGGCGCAGUGCCGUGUCUUAAAUCCCCCAAAGACGAAAUCCGCGCUUUUGACCUCUGACAUCCCCUCCGGAAUUGUUGAGCGUUUGGUUGCCUUGAUUUCCCAGGGACAGGGCAGCGCGUCGACCUCAGGGGGGUCCAGGGGAAUGGGCGGGCAAAAGCAGAAGGGGGCUGGGCCAUCUAUGCCCAAGCAGGGACAGGGUGCUAGCGAAUCGCGGGGGAAUAGGCCAUCUUGCGAGUUCUGCGGAACCAUGGGUCACCAGCAGAGCAAGUGCUUCAUUUUCCACCCCGAGCUCGCUCCCGCGGACUAUGAGCCCGCUAACCCAGCCCUGAAGGUUUUAUUUCUGCAGCGCAAGAAGGCGGUUGAAAAGAAGGCGGCCUUGGCGGCGGCUGUUGCCGCAGCUUUCGAGGACGACUUUGAAGCAGAGGACGAGGGGGAUGAGGAGGCGGCCUGCUGCACGACGCAGUUCCAUGAAGCGGCGUCUAACGCCUCUCCCAGCCAGCAGGCCAGGAUGGCGCCACUCACAUGGACGCGCAGCGCACAAGAGGUAAGGUACAACAGCUUAGCCACUAUGCAUUCGCAGGCUGUUCCUAAGUCCUUUACUCCUGCCCCCUUAGUCACGAAGCAGUAUCCGCCACCGACACCACCCGUGGCGAACAACUCAAAACGCGCCCAUACACUGCUGGAUGACAAUACUCUCUUGCGUAAAAUCUCCGACAUGCCUGUCGGCACUUUUCUUAACCUGCUCUGCCAGCAGGGGCUGUCUUCCACCGGCGGCCCCUUAGACGCUAAACCCCAUCCCCCAAGCACGGCCCAAGCAACGCAGGGUUCAAGCUCAGUUUCGAGCAGCUUUGGGGAGGGAUUUUCCACGCUUCAGGCAGACAAGAGUGUGCAGCUCGCCUGUUUCCCGGCGGCAGCACCGGAGCUGGUCACGCCACCUCCCCUUGAUUCUGGCCUGGCGUCUUUUGCCCUGGCGGCCCAAGGGCGCGCCAAACCCUCCGACCACCGUGGUGCCGGUUUCGAGUACCAGGUAAGUGGGGUUAAGGGUCCGCCUCCGUGCACUUUGUCGGAGCUCUCGCCUGACGAGCGGGAGCAGGCUUUAGCGGUUAAUCCGUCGGCGGCGCGUUACAUGGGGGAACCCGAGGGUCUGUAUUACUACGAAACAGGGGCGUGUGUGUUGGUUCAGGGGCAGCGCGACAGGGCAGCUCCGGAGGCGUUGUGUGAUUUUGCCGCAACGGUCAACGUAAUGCCGACCAGUGUAGCCAAAGCACUUAACCUGCCCAUAGUCGAGACAACCACGCGGCUGUCCACCUCGUUGCAGCUAGGGGGUGCUGUGCGAGGAGAGUUGGACACCUCAAACAUCUUUUUUGAGCUUCUUCUGGGCACGCCGCAUGCCACGCGGGUCCCGCUUACUAAAACCCUGGUCGUUGACGAGCGACCCGACCUGUUUCAGCUCCUAGUGGGUAACGAACAGGCGAAAUUCUUAGGGGACGCUCUGGAAUCAUAUCCAGAGCCCAGGCUGCACUUUUAUCCUAACUUUUUGCAGCACCCCGACUACAAAGUCACCAUUCCCAUGCGCAAGCUUGUGAAGCACAAGCCUUCUCAGCAUGGUUCACUUGUGGGAGUUGCGUGGGUCAGCAUGGCCAUUCCCAGCACCUCUUCUCCCGGCUCCAAGCUGGGGGGAGGGGAAUCCACCGCUGACGUCCAUCCUAUUCCGCACCAGUCCUCUCAUUCCUCUGAGCAGGGCACGUCAACCGCCUACGUCAACAACACUAGGCGAGAUUACUGGGGCAACUUCGCGUCCCGGUUAUCAGUUGGUGCGAAUCAGUUUGGUUCCACUUUCCUUAUGCUUCUUACGUAUGCCACUUUCUUUGUGGACGCAUUUAACAUUGGUUUUGUCAGCCCCGUUCUCACGGCGUCUGCCGUACGCACGUGUUUUGUUCGGUGCUACAGUCAUAUGACGCGACAGUGGGGGCCCUAUAGCUUGCACUACGUGUCCAGCUAGUCAGGCCAGGGCGCACUAACAUCACUGGGCUAAAUGCCCUAUGUUACUGCAGUUACUGCAACGAAACACGGUAAAAGCACCCAACUCAGGAUAUCCUGAGCCGGUGAAUGUGCGGGUUGCCUAAAAUAGGUGAUAACAGCCCAGGAUGGGUGUGUAAAAAAGGCAAAGCACAGCCUAAUCAGGGAAAGAACCACCUAGCAAAACCGGAUGCAGACCUCCACCCAAGGAAAGCCAAACAGAACACGACCUCAAAAACGCAAAACGCCCAGUCCCCCACCAGCACCCAGAAGCCCUUGUGAACGACGAGAGCUCCCCCUGGAGAGACGGGACACAGCUGCCUAACAUACGAGACGGACCCGCGAAGCACACCGAGGCAUUCACACAAACCGGCGAGGGCGCCUUCAUGUUCCUAGAGGUGUUUGAAGACCGGUCUUGAAGACCGGUCUUGAAGACCGGUCUUGAAGACGGUACAAACACACAAGUGGCAAAGGACAAGCUGUGUCUGCUUCCUGAAAGCCGGAAAAGGGGCGGGGCCCCUCUGCAUCCGUACAGGCCGGUAGCUAGGGUGGCACGUGUGACAAUUGAUGGGUAGUGUCGAUUGUCCCACCACGACACAUGGUGGGAGCUGUGCCUGUUGCAGCAGUGCUGAUGCUGUGGGAGGUAUGGAUGUCAGCGCGCGGGAGGCAGGAAGCUGGGGCUCAUGACCUGUUGAACAGAUGGUAUCUCUCUGGAACCUAGCAGACACGGCUAAGAGUCAUUGGCCGUUACAAUUAGUUGGGAGGUGCACGACCUACCACCGACAGCCCCUUGCUUGGGCGUAAACGUAUGAGUCUGACAUGCCAUUACUGGCACACAGCAGGGGCUUGGCCUCCAUGUCCGCAGUCCAGGCUGGCUGCUCAACACUCAGCAGACAUAGUCGUAGCUUACCAGCCUUCAGCCUGUUGGCCUUGCGGUCUGGUGCCGCAGCCAUAACACACACGGAAAACAGCACUGUACAGCACCGCACACACUGUGUACGGUGCCCCUUCAGGCAUUGACUUGCCCAUUCGGGCGCCUGCUCACACGCCCUUGGCACCCCCCUCAAAGCCUAGCUCGACACACUUCCCCAAAGCCCUCAGCAUGUUCCGGUGCUGUCUGUGAUGUUUACUCCCGAAGUGUGAGCGGCUUCAGCAAUCCGUCCCACAGCCGUGCGGCACAUUGCAAGUCUUUGGAGGCCUCGAGCAUUGGCCAAAGUAAUUUUACAAACGAGCAGAUUGCGUACUUCAUAGAAAAAUGAAAGCAAAUUUGUCGGCCUGCUGUGGCAAGUCGGAAUGCCUGUGGGGGCAAAUGGUAACACAAGCUGGGUGUUCGAGUUCUCAUACGCUGUCAUCUCAGAUUUCAGUUAUGAGAUACGCGGCACCUUUUGAGAUUAAAUUUAGCCCGAGAGGCGUUGAUGUGACUUUGGCCUCGGUGAAUGGGGCAGCCAAACUUGUUUGUGCUCGUACGAUUUUUGUUGGCGACGGGUGAGAUACCUUGCAAUGGAGGAUGCAAUAUAUUACCAAUAACGCGUUUCAGCCGGGCGAGAUAUUAUGUUUUAUCUGUUACACACACACGGCCAUGCGGCCACACGGGCACACGGACAUGGGCAAUCCUACAGGGCGGGGGCCCCUGGGGCGCUUCACACUGGGGCCCCGCCCAAAAAGCCCUCAGACCAACACAUGCGAAACGAGAAACGUGACUAAUUCCUGAUACUGGCGCGGUGGGGCCAUCUUGAGUUCGGAAACGUUAUCUCAGAAGGGCUUGCCCGAAUGGUCCAGGUGCUCCACGGCCUUGAUGUAGGAGAUCAAUUCCGGAAUUGAUCAACGUGGCAGUGGUGGCAGCCACGUGGCAGUGGUGGCAGUGGUGGCAGUGGUAGCAGGAGCCGUAGCAGUGGCAGCGGUUGCAGUGGCAGCAGUGGCGGCAGAAGUGGAGUCGGUGGCAGUGGGCUGGGCCACAUUCAUAGUCGGUGUGUCCUCUGCCUCCAGCUGAUGUGUGGCCAUCAUGGCCCCACACCGCUUCCCUGGGGACUGCAGCCGCUCGAAUGCAGUGGCCUUGGCCAGUUGCACAGGUGUCAUUUCUGGACUUGUGGCACUCAAUGGCGGCCGCUUCAGUUUAAGCUCCUUGAUUACAGAAGCCACCGGAGCAAGCUCUGCACUCCAGCGCAAAGCUUUGGCCAUGGCUGUGCAGCUUGCCAGCUUCACUGAAGGUGUUGAGCUGUGUAUGGCUUUGAUGGCCUUCAGCCUGCAAAGGAGCAUGCUGUCGUUGGUUGUAUAUUGCUUUAGAUGUGGGCACUCUUUCAACCACCCAUGGACAACCCUCUUCAGAAGGGGUGUAGCAGCCGGUACACAGUACGGCGCUAUAAAUACGCGCAGAGCGCGACCGCCAGCAACUCGAGAGACCUUUUCAGCGGUCAGCUGCUACAUUUGGUAUCGAGACCUCGUGAAAUUUCACGAUCCUGAAGUCGUCGGUUCAACCCCCACCGUUCACAUUCGAGUGGUAUUCGGGUGCGGCGACUCAGAGAGCGAAUAUCGCACAAAUAAUUAAAAUAGCUGAACCGACUGGACUGUCUCUGUGCCUGAAAAAUCUGAAGACGGCUAGGCGCAUGUGAGCCGGCACAUGACGUGACGUGGAGUAAUUACCCACUGCCCGAGGGUAGGCGAAGGUAGGCACAGGCUGGCGGUAUACGAGGCUCUAAGGGCCCGGGACGGUUCCCUUCAAAGGGGGGGGAACACUCUGGGAACCUGGAGCCUUCAUUCUAUAUGCGAUUCACACUCAUUUCACACCUUAAUGAAGACCCUUCAUACCUUCAUGAAGGUACCCUUCAUUCCACACCAAAUCGAGGGCCCCGGGUCAAUUUAGAAUGAGGACCACUUCAUUACAUAAUGAAGGUAGCUCAGAAUGAACGUCCCUUACGCUUUGAAUACCCCUUCUGUCCAAAAUGAAGGUGGUCUCCAUAAAACGAGCCCAUGUCCAUCACGUGAUAUGAAGGGCCCUUUCAGUCCAAAAAGAAGCCGUCUCCAUAAAAUGAAACAUAUAUAUCACGUGAUAUGAAGGGCCCUUUCAGUCCAAAAAGAAGCCGUCUCCAUAAAAUGAAACAUAUAUAUCACGUGAUAUGAAGGGCCCUUUCAGUCCAAAAAGAAGCCGUCUCCAUAAAAUGAAACAUAUACAUCACGUGAUAUGAAGGCCCCUUUCAGUCCAAAAUUAAGCCUUUUCAUAAUGUCCAUCGCGCCAUAUGGACACGCCUCCAAUCCUAACUAGGAAGGCGUGUUCUUAUCACAUGAUGAACAGCGUCUUGAUACGGAUUUGCUUAUAAGCCAAGCCGUCUCAAGACCCUGUCCACCAUGUGAUAAGAACACGCCUUCAGCCCUAAAAAAAGGCACCUCCACAAAACAAGACAUUGCAGCUGUCCAUCACAUUGCAUGUGCAUUCAUCCCAAAAUAAACGUGCAUCCAUAACCACCGUCGUUUCUUGCCCCCCUUCCCCUUCGCCUUUGUUUCCAUGAUCCGCUUCAGUCAAGACGACAUCAGGUGCAGAACGGCUGUGCUUUGAGGCGGCCUUUGCUGUCAUCAUGGCUGUUGCAAUCUCCACCGCCCACAUCUGUCGCCCACUGCUUCACCAUGUCCAAGGUGGUUGACUGCAACAGCAGCGGGACAUGUGUCAGUCAGUUAGUUAUAGACAUAUAGGCUUGGCGGAGUAAAAAUGGACAGGUUGCUAUACUGAAGCACACAAUUAACACGAUGUCGCAAAACCAUGCAAUUCUUGCUGAGCACCCAACCAGCCUAUUUGUAACCCUGACAUGAAACCAACACAAACUUUGACAGGAGCUCACUUUCUGAUUUGCUGCUAGGUGAUUUGGUCCAGUGCUCGACAUCCAUUGGUCAUGGGGUCCGGCUGCUGCUUGAAACAGCUUCAAGACACUGCUCUGCCUCCUCGACACUCAAGAGCUAAAAUACAUCUGCAUUGAAAACAAAUAGAGGGGCAAAGAACAAUAAAACAUUACGUUAGUUAUCUUGCAGCAGCAUCGGACUGCAACCCUUGACGGCGGUAAAUAGCUAGCAUACAUGUCAGAAUAACAGAUAGAAGCAGGUAACAAAGUUCUGUGAUGACGAGUACAGAGUCAUGAUGUGGCCGCCGGCAAUGUGGACCUGGUCAACACAGUCCCGUGACUCACCCAGCCCGAGCAGCUUGAAAAUAUUGGUCUGCUCCUGUGCCUUCCAGUCACAUUGGAAGAUUUCAUUGUCACCAUCGUCAGUAAGAGAGCCCAGCAGACUGGACCUAAGGGCGCCCUCACAGAGAAGAAGCCUCUUCUCAAACUUCAGCCUUGUGGCAAGCUCUUGUCCUCGCUCACUUAAAUGAGGUCUAAUAGCAUAAACAUCUGUAGUCAACGCUUUGUGUUGGCAGUGAGUCGCUGUUAGAUGCUCAAUGUCAAGCGCAGUAGUAAUCGUUGUAAAUCUGUACUUACAACAAAAUGGAAGAACUAUGGCAUCUAAGAUUAAGGAAGUGUAUGCAGGAUUUCUUGAGUGUCACCGGUCCACUGCAUGCCGUACCUGGAUUGUAGCAUGCAGUCCGUCAAGGUUCCAGCUAUGAAAGAGUCCAGAAUGAAACUAAAGCUAAUCUAAAUUUCAUGGAUUGAUUAUGGCAUCGAGUAAGACAAAUGCUCCAAGGCUGUCACCUGUGAACCUGCCAGCAGCACUUAGUAUGUGCCUUGAAAGGAAUUCCAAGUGAAACCUCUCUCUGACACCUCUCUAUCGACUUCCAUGCCCAGCAGCAUGCCAGCAUACAUGGGAAGUUGCAGUCUGAAGCCGGCACGGGANNNNNNNNNNNNNNNNNNNNNNNNNNNNNNNNNNNNNNNNNNNNNNNNNNNNNNNNNNNNNNNNNNNNNNNNNNNNNNNNNNNNNNNNNNNNNNNNNNNNNNNNNNNNNNNNNNNNNNNNNNNNNNNNNNNNNNNNNNNNNNNNNNNNNNNNNNNNNNNNNNNNNNNNNNNNNNNNNNNNNNNNNNNNNNNNNNNNNNNNNNNNNNNNNNNNNNNNNNNNNNNNNNNNNNNNNNNNNNNNNNNNNAGCGAGGGGAGAACCUACACUCUGGGAACCUGGAGCCUUCAUUCUAUAUGCGAUUCACACUCAUUUCACACCUUAAUGAAGACCCUUCAUACCUUCAUGAAGGUACCCUUCAUUCCACACCAAAUCGAGGGCCCCGGGUCAAUUUAGAAUGAGGACCACUUCAUUACAUAAUGAAGGUAGCUCAGAAUGAACGUCCCUUACGCUUUGAAUACCCCUUCUGUCCAAAAUGAAGGUGGUCUCCAUAAAACGAGCCCAUGUCCAUCACGUGAUAUGAAGGGCCCUUUCAGUCCAAAAAGAAGCCGUCUCCAUAAAAUGAAACAUAUAUAUCACGUGAUAUGAAGGGCCCUUUCAGUCCAAAAAGAAGCCGUCUCCAUAAAAUGAAACAUAUAUAUCACGUGAUAUGAAGGCCCCUUUCAGUCCAAAAAGAAGCCGUCUCCAUAAAAUGAAACAUAUACAUCACGUGAUAUGAAGGCCCCUUUCAGUCCAAAAUUAAGCCUUUUCAUAAUGUCCAUCGCGCCAUAUGGACACGCCUCCAAUCCUAACUAGGAAGGCGUGUUCUUAUCACAUGAUGAACAGCGUCUUGAUACGGAUUUGCUUAUAAGCCAAGCCGUCUCAAGACCCUGUCCACCAUGUGAUAAGAACACGCCUUCAGCCCUAAAAAAAGGCACCUCCACAAAACAAGACAUUGCAGCUGUCCAUCACAUUGCAUGUGCAUUCAUCCCAAAAUAAACGUGCAUCCAUAACCACCGUCGUUUCUUGCCCCCCUUCCCCUUCGCCUUUGUUUCCAUGAUCCGCUUCAGUCAAGACGACAUCAGGUGCAGAACGGCUGUGCUUUGAGGCGGCCUUUGCUGUCAUCAUGGCUGUUGCAAUCUCCACCGCCCACAUCUGUCGCCCACUGCUUCACCAUGUCCAAGGUGGUUGACUGCAACAGCAGCGGGACAUGUGUCAGUCAGUUAGUUAUAGACAUAUAGGCUUGGCGGAGUAAAAAUGGACAGGUUGCUAUACUGAAGCACACAAUUAACACGAUGUCGCAAAACCAUGCAAUUCUUGCUGAGCACCCAACCAGCCUAUUUGUAACCCUGACAUGAAACCAACACAAACUUUGACAGGAGCUCACUUUCUGAUUUGCUGCUAGGUGAUUUGGUCCAGUGCUCGACAUCCAUUGGUCAUGGGGUCCGGCUGCUGCUUGAAACAGCUUCAAGACACUGCUCUGCCUCCUCGACACUCAAGAGCUAAAAUACAUCUGCAUUGAAAACAAAUAGAGGGGCAAAGAACAAUAAAACAUUACGUUAGUUAUCUUGCAGCAGCAUCGGACUGCAACCCUUGACGGCGGUAAAUAGCUAGCAUACAUGUCAGAAUAACAGAUAGAAGCAGGUAACAAAGUUCUGUGAUGACGAGUACAGAGUCAUGAUGUGGCCGCCGGCAAUGUGGACCUGGUCAACACAGUCCCGUGACUCACCCAGCCCGAGCAGCUUGAAAAUAUUGGUCUGCUCCUGUGCCUUCCAGUCACAUUGGAAGAUUUCAUUGUCACCAUCGUCAGUAAGAGAGCCCAGCAGACUGGACCUAAGGGCGCCCUCACAGAGAAGAAGCCUCUUCUCAAACUUCAGCCUUGUGGCAAGCUCUUGUCCUCGCUCACUUAAAUGAGGUCUAAUAGCAUAAACAUCUGUAGUCAACGCUUUGUGUUGGCAGUGAGUCGCUGUUAGAUGCUCAAUGUCAAGCGCAGUAGUAAUCGUUGUAAAUCUGUACUUACAACAAAAUGGAAGAACUAUGGCAUCUAAGAUUAAGGAAGUGUAUGCAGGAUUUCUUGAGUGUCACCGGUCCACUGCAUGCCGUACCUGGAUUGUAGCAUGCAGUCCGUCAAGGUUCCAGCUAUGAAAGAGUCCAGAAUGAAACUAAAGCUAAUCUAAAUUUCAUGGAUUGAUUAUGGCAUCGAGUAAGACAAAUGCUCCAAGGCUGUCACCUGUGAACCUGCCAGCAGCACUUAGUAUGUGCCUUGAAAGGAAUUCCAAGUGAAACCUCUCUCUGACACCUCUCUAUCGACUUCCAUGCCCAGCAGCAUGCCAGCAUACAUGGGAAGUUGCAGUCUGAAGCCGGCACGGGAAACCCAAAACGCUAUCACCUGAGCAUCACAUGAUAAAAAACAAUGCUGACGCACCAGUCCGGACACUCACACAGACGACACCAGUGCAUGACCUGCCAAGGGCUGCAAACAUCUCAUUGACACUGACAACCCUCCUAGCCCAGGCCUGUUCUUGUUUCCCAUUGGCUCCCAUCAUUGCAGUGUGCCCAAACAAAACUCCUUCCCUUCUGCCGCCAUAGCCGCCAUCACCAUCCCCGCCAUCGCCACCACCUGCCAUCGUCGACCCUGCCACCAUCAUCGUCACCACCGUCGCCAUUGCCGCCGUUGCCAUCCCCACCUAAUUCUAGAGCUAAUACGUGCGCCAUCCCCACUUCUGGAAGGGUCGUAUUUAUUAGAUAAAAGGCCAGCCGGGCUUUGCCCGUUGAAUGGUGAAUCAUGAUAACUUCACGAAUCGUANNNNNNNNNNNNNNNNNNNNNNNNNNNNNNNNNNNNNNNNNNNNNNNNNNNNNNNNCAGGGAUGGCGACGGCGGAAAUGGUGAUGGCAGGGAUGGCGAUGGGGGGAACGGCAACGGUUGGCGAUGGAGGGGAUGGCGACAGCGUCGCCAUUGCCACCGUCACCAUUCCCCCCAUCGCCAUCCCUGCCAUCACCAUUGCCGCCAUCGCCAUCCCUGCCAUCACCAUUGCCACUGCCGUCAUCCCUGUCAUCGCCACUGCCGCCAUCGCCAUCCCUGCCAUCACCAUUGCCACCGUCGCCAUCCCUGCCAUCGCCAUUCCCCCCAUCGCCAUCCCACCAUCACCAUUGCCACCGUCGCCAUCCCUGCCAUCACCAUUGCCGCCAUCGCCAUCCCUGCCAUCACCAUUGCCACUGCCGUCAUCCCUGUCAUCGCCACUGCCGCCAUCGCCAUCCCUGCCAUCACCAUUGCCACCGUCGCCAUCCCUGCCAUCGCCAUUCCCCCCAUCGCCAUCCCUGCCAUCACCAUUGCCACCGUCGCCAUCCCUGCCACGGUGAUGGCGACGGCGGCAAUGGUGAUGGCGNNNNNNNNNNNNNNNNNNNNNNNNNNNNNNNNNNNNNNNNNNNNNNNNNNNNNNNNNNNNNNNNNNNNNNNNNNNNNNNNNNNNNNNNNNNNNNNNNNNNNNNNNNNNNNNNNNNNNNNNNNNNNNNNNNNNNNNNNNNNNNNNNNNNNNNNNNNNNNNNNNNNNNNNNNNNNNNNNNNNNNNNNNNNNNNNNNNNNNNNNNNNNNNNNNNNNNNNNNNNNNNNNNNNNNNNNNNNNNNNNNNNNNNNNNNNNNNNNNNNNNNNNNNNNNNNNNNNNNNNNNNNNNNNNNNNNNNNNNNNNNNNNNNNNNNNNNNNNNNNNNNNNNNNNNNNNNNNNNNNNNNNNNNNNNNNNNNNNNNNNNNNNNNNNNNNNNNNNNNNNNNNNNNNNNNNNNNNNNNNNNNNNNNNNNNNNNNNNNNNNNNNNNNNNNNNNNNNNNNNNNNNNNNNNNNNNNNNNNNNNNNNNNNNNNNNNNNNNNNNNNNNNNNNNNNNNNNNNNNNNNNNNNNNNNNNNNNNNNNNNNNNNNNNNNNNNNNNNNNNNNNNNNNNNNNNNNNNNNNNNNNNNNNNNNNNNNNNNNNNNNNNNNNNNNNNNNNNNNNNNNNNNNNNNNNNNNNNNNNNNNNNNNNNNNNNNNNNNNNNNNNNNNNNNNNNNNNNNNNNNNNNNNNNNNNNNNNNNNNNNNNNNNNNNNNNNNNNNNNNNNNNNNNNNNNNNNNNNNNNNNNNNNNNNNNNNNNNNNNNNNNNNNNNNNNNNNNNNNNNNNNNNNNNNNNNNNNNNNNNNNNNNNNNNNNNNNNNNNNNNNNNNNNNNNNNNNNNNNNNNNNNNNNNNNNNNNNNNNNNNNNNNNNNNNNNNNNNNNNNNNNNNNNNNNNNNNNNNNNNNNNNNNNNNNNNNNNNNNNNNNNNNNNNNNNNNNNNNNNNNNNNNNNNNNNNNNNNNNNNNNNNNNNNNNNNNNNNNNNNNNNNNNNNNNNNNNNNNNNNNNNNNNNNNNNNNNNNNNNNNNNNNNNNNNNNNNNNNNNNNNNNNNNNNNNNNNNNNNNNNNNNNNNNNNNNNNNNNNNNNNNNNNNNNNNNNNNNNNNNNNNNNNNNNNNNNNNNNNNNNNNNNNNNNNNNNNNNNNNNNNNNNNNNNNNNNNNNNNNNNNNNNNNNNNNNNNNNNNNNNNNNNNNNNNNNNNNNNNNNNNNNNNNNNNNNNNNNNNNNNNNNNNNNNNNNNNNNNNNNNNNNNNNNNNNNNNNNNNNNNNNNNNNNNNNNNNNNNNNNNNNNNNNNNNNNNNNNNNNNNNNNNNNNNNNNNNNNNNNNNNNNNNNNNNNNNNNNNNNNNNNNNNNNNNNNNNNNNNNNNNNNNNNNNNNNNNNNNNNNNNNNNNNNNNNNNNNNNNNNNNNNNNNNNNNNNNNNNNNNNNNNNNNNNNNNNNNNNNNNNNNNNNNNNNNNNNNNNNNNNNNNNNNNNNNNNNNNNNNNNNNNNNNNNNNNNNNNNNNNNNNNNNNNNNNNNNNNNNNNNNNNNNNNNNNNNNNNNNNNNNNNNNNNNNNNNNNNNNNNNNNNNNNNNNNNNNNNNNNNNNNNNNNNNNNNNNNNNNNNNNNNNNNNNNNNNNNNNNNNNNNNNNNNNNNNNNNNNNNNNNNNNNNNNNNNNNNNNNNNNNNNNNNNNNNNNNNNNNNNNNNNNNNNNNNNNNNNNNNNNNNNNNNNNNNNNNNNNNNNNNNNNNNNNNNNNNNNNNNNNNNNNNNNNNNNNNNNNNNNNNNNNNNNNNNNNNNNNNNNNNNNNNNNNNNNNNNNNNNNNNNNNNNNNNNNNNNNNNNNNNNNNNNNNNNNNNNNNNNNNNNNNNNNNNNNNNNNNNNNNNNNNNNNNNNNNNNNNNNNNNNNNNNNNNNNNNNNNNNNNNNNNNNNNNNNNNNNNNNNNNNNNNNNNNNNNNNNNNNNNNNNNNNNNNNNNNNNNNNNNNNNNNNNNNNNNNNNNNNNNNNNNNNNNNNNNNNNNNNNNNNNNNNNNNNNNNNNNNNNNNNNNNNNNNNNNNNNNNNNNNNNNNNNNNNNNNNNNNNNNNNNNNNNNNNNNNNNNNNNNNNNNNNNNNNNNNNNNNNNNNNNNNNNNNNNNNNNNNNNNNNNNNNNNNNNNNNNNNGCGCAGGGGAGAGCAGCGUUCGGCAAGGGGGGCGCAGGGGAGGGCGUCGUUGGGCAAGGGGGGCGCAGGGGAGGGCGUCGUUUGGCUAGGGGCGGCGGAGGGGAGGGCAGCGUUGGGCUAUGGGGGUGCAGGGGAGGGCGUCGUUGGGCUAGGGGGCCGCAGGGAAGGGCGUCGUUGGGCUAGGGGGGUGCAGGGGAGGGUGUCAACCAAGCACCUCCACCCCCUUCAUCCCUUCCCCCUUCACCUCCUCCACCGUCGCCACUGCCACCAUCUCCACCUCCGCCCCGCAUCCCCCUCUCCUCUCUCCCCCCCAUCCCCACCUCCUAUAGGAUACAGCUAUCUCUUCCCCGCAUCCCCCUCUCCUCUCUCCCCCCCAUAUCCAACUUUGCUAUCUUCCUCCCUUCUUCAAUGUGUGUUCACAUCACCCGAUGAUGCAAAAGGAGGAGAAACAUUUCUAUAAAAAACCUUAUGGACUACGGUCUCACCUGUUAGGUUGUCGGGGCUCCACUGCAUUUCCGCCUGGCCCUUCGGCGGACUCCGGACUCCACUCCAUGUCCACCGCCACUGGAGACGAGGCGCCUACACUAGUGUACUGACAGUACUGACAGGGGGGACCUAGCUUCAAAUCGCUGAUGAUCUACAUGUGACGUGUCUGCUAGUUUCGUUUAUUGUACCUGUUUCAUCCGGCUGGUUAGCUUGAGCCUGUGCACAUGCAAGGGGACCAUCAUCAUCCUCCGACUCAUACACUGCACCCCUUGCUUCAUCAUCUGCACAAAUGCACAUCAAAGCAAAUGGCAGACAUGAUUACCUUUACAUCAGUCCACACCCCUGUCCAUUACAUCCGUCCCUUGCCCCGUGCCCGUCGCCCGUCCCUGAGUCGCUGUCACCCGAGCUGCCAUGACCAGCACCCCGUUCACCCCAUCCCCUUCACCUCCCCUGCCGUCACCACGGCCGCCAUUUCCACCUCCGUCCUCUUCAUUGCUGCAAUCCCCGCCCCCCCGUCUCCGUGGCCGCCACUACCACCUCUCUCCCAUGCAUUCCCAUCCGUUCUCACCUGCACCUCCGUCGCCAACCGUUGCUUCUUCAGUGGCAACAAUACGGAUCUCCACCUCUCCAUCCAUCCCAAUGUGUCCAGGUGAUCCGUCACCUGGGAAUAGCAGGGCAUACGACCACGACACCAUGAAGGGUUCCACAUACUUCAUUCUGGAUGAAGUUUCCCCGCCAUUACGUUUAUCCCUUGCCAUUGCAACCGUAACCAUUGCCACUGUCGCCAUCCCCGCUGUCGCCAUCCCUGCUGUCGCCAUCCCCACCAUCGCCCUCCCCACCGUCGCCUUCCCUGCCGUCGCCCGUCCCUUCCUCCGUGCCCGUCGCCCGUCCCAGCAGCGACGUCAGGGGCAACGGCGGCACAGAUGUGCCGCCGUUGCGCCUGACGUUGCCUGAGUCGCCGUCACCCGAGCUGCCAUCACCACCAUCCCCUUCACCCCAUCCCCUUCACCUCCCCUGCCGUCACCACUGCUGCCAUUUCCGUCCUCUUACCUUAUGGACUACGGUCUCACCUGUUAGAUUGUCGGGGCUCCACUGCAUUUCCGCCUGGCCCUUCGGUGGACUCCACUCCAUGUCCACCGGAGACGGGGUGCCUGCACUGACAGGGGGGACCUCGUUUCAAAUCGCUCAUGACCUACAUGUGACGUGUCUGCUAGUUUCGUUUGUUGAUACCUGUUUGGUCCGGUUUGUUAGCUUGCGCCUGUGCUCCCGCACCAACCACCAAAGGGCCCGCCGCAACGGGAGCUUGUUGCUGAGGAAAUUCAUCUGCAUCAUAUUGGACGUCGCAAAUUUUAACCCUACAUAGUACCUGGCAAUGUAUUGCAGCAAUUUCUCACUGCGUCCAGCGACCAUCUCGUUAGGAGCCACGGCAUCGAGGCCAAAAAGCUCUUUGCCAUUAUUACCACCAUGAGGCUGGACGCACUGAUGCAUGAUGACGAGAUUAUAUGCAUGAGACGUGCUAUGAUACUUGCGUUCGCAGGACACACACGUAAUUUCAAAUUUCGACAACGCAUACAGUCGACCGCGGCAGAGGUAACGUGGAUAUGUUUUAACUGGAGGGGCCAUCUUUAUUAGCUAUUAUUACAUGUUCAACAGAGAGCAGGACUUGCGAACAGAUGCUGUGUGCAUUUGUAUGUUCUGAAGGGCCCUACAGCCCUUCAUUCUGGGACAAGCGCAGACUGAACGAAACCUUAUGUUUGGAGUAUUUGUACAGUCAUAAGUAAUUAAAACAAUCCCUGGCAUGGCGAUAUUACAGGGCUUUUGCAUGCUAAGUGGCCAUUUCAGCCGAACCCCGUCGAUAUGCUCUGAAGGCCCCUCAGCCCUUCGUUAUGAAGUGAGCACGAAUGAGCACGAAACGACAACUAGAUGAAGGGAUUCCCGGGUAUCGAAGGGAAGCUGGUUCCCAGAGUGGAAUGUAGUAGCCAGUACACAGUACGGCGCUAUAAAUACGCGCAGAGCGCGACCGCCAGCAACUCGAGAGACCUUUUCAGCGGUCAGCUGCUACAAGGGGGGUGGCCUGCUUCUGCACCUCCUCUGCCACCUGGUUGACCACCAUCAAGUUCUGGCCGCCACCAGCCUUCCGGACCUCUGCCUCAUUGGACACCAGGAUGAACCUCAAGCUACCCAUGCCCUCUAUGAACACGGUUGUGCUCCACACUGCCCAACGCUGCAUGGAGAAAAUCAUGGGCAACAAGGUUCGACAGUAGUUUUCAGCAUGUGGUGCUAUUGCUAGGUGCAGGUGCUCUUAUAUUAUGUUAUUGCUUGGGGUUUACAAAGCAGCUGUGUGUGGUGACCAUGUGGCCAGCACAGGAUGCAGGUAUAACGUUUGACAAUCACCAUCAGUAUGUGUGUGUAUGUGCGUGUGUAUGUGUGUAUGUGUAUGUGUAUGUGUAUGUGUAUGUGUAUGUGUAUGUGUAUGUGUAUGUGUAUGUGUAUGUGUAUGUGUAUGUGUGUCUGUGUGUGUGUCUGUGUGUAUGUGUGUAUGUGCGCAUGCAUGUGUGUGUGUAAAUGGCCACAUGCAUGUGUUGUGUCGUGGGCCAAGUCAUACUUCCACGGGACUACUAAAAGCUGAACCUGUUGCCUCUCCCACAACGAGGGUGAUAAUACCCUUUCGUGAACCCCAAAAACAGCUGCAGAGUGGUUGUGGCCCCAAAAGAGGACUCACUGUGUGUUGUGGGGAAAAUGUGGGCGGUUUCUUCUUCUUCUUGGCCAUGAUGGCCACUCUUUCACCAGCAGGACCCAUAGCUAUAUGGAUGACCACACCUUGGGGCCUUGUGGGUCAACACUAUGAGCGCAAAAGCAGAUGUGAUCGCAGUCAGGAUAGGUAAGUCAUGCAGACACCACAGGAUGCUCUUUUACCUAGUACUUUUACCAGCAGGAGUACUUUGAUAGCUUGUUACAGCACAGAAGACAGAGGCGUCCAAGGCACAGACAAUAUGCACUGUCCCAGAAAAUUGCACCAAAAAUGGCUUACCUUUUGCCAGUAGUACGAGUAGUCGACAAAAAACAUUUGGGAAUGUCCGUGUCAAAAGAAGGAAAGGGGGCGGUACACAAAACCUGUGGGGUGUGCACGGUGUGCAUGUAAGCGCGUCAUACAUUCAAACAUAAGUCGCAUUGUCCAUGUCCUUUUGCAAUGGCUUAUAAGCCGUGCACUCCGUGGGUGUGACAAAAAACAUUUGGGAAUGUCCGUGUCAAAAGAAGGAAAGGGGGCGGUACACAAAACCUGUGGGGUGUGCACGGUGUGCAUGUAAGCGCGUCAUACAUUCAAACAUAAGUCGCAUUGUCCAUGUCCUUUUGCAAUGGCUUAUAAGCCGUGCACUCCGUGGGUGUGGGUGUUUGUGGGUGCUUUUGCUGAUGUUGUUGGCAGGCCAUGCAUGCAAAAAAAGCGACACACACCGCACGAAGUGCCUGCAAGGCAGCAUGGGACCCUUACCAGGCUCACCUUUGCAACCUAAAAUGAGUCGUGUGCGGGUAUCUCACCGAAGGCGGAGAGACUGCCGCAUACAACCAUACAUUCGAUGGUGUUCAUUCGCAAAAAAUUCCGGACAUGAGACCGCACACAACAAUGUGGCAAUGUACACGAAAUUCAAAAUGUGGAACAAUGCUUAUUGUUGGAGGGUGCUGACCGCCUCACAAAUAUAAGCAGCUGACAUGUACGGUUUGCAGCGAAGAUGAAGGAUCCAACUGCCAUAGUUGUUGGGGCAUACGUGCGUAUGCGCGUUCAUGUUUGUGGGUACAACAGUAUAUAUUAUUCGUCUACUUGGAAGCAAUAUAGGGGAACUUAUCGUGGGUAAGCAUGCUUUAAGUUGCGCGCAGCCUGAAAACCACCAUCAGCGCUGCUCUAAGUAACAUAAUAGCUUAAACGCAUGAUUUCCAGGUGUUAUGAUAUUGCUUUGAAUUGCUUGGGGGCGCCGCUGCUGCUUCGGCUUCGCUUCAUAUGUGGUCGGAGACAACGCCUGCGCUUUGGGUGGCGGCGGCUCUGCCAGCUUGAGGACAAGUUUUAUCCGAAUGUAUGGUGCAUAAGUUAUGUGUUCGUUUCCACACAUGCAGCGACACAGCAGCAUCUCAGCACAAGCGUUGCCAUCUUAGCUGCGCGCCUAACCUGUGCAAUCGCUCGCCAUAGUGAUGGGAUUUGGGAUAAGGAUUCAUUAGUUUUUUGGGGGCUUUUGAGAGCUUUGGACCAUGCAGGGAGUCGUAGGUGCAAUCAAAUCGCCAAGCCUGCAGCAACCCACAGCAGCACAUCAUGGGCACCUCAGCAAAAUCUUGCAACAUGUUGUGGCAUCAACAAAAUUUCUCGGAUCAUAGUUCAUGUAUAAAGGGCAAGCGGAAGGAGUGCGCAUGGUUUGGGUAGAAGGGCUUGUGGGAGACAUAGUAAGGGCCUGUGGUAUUGAAAACUGCCCCGUCCAGCAUGUGAUUCAACAUGUCAGAAAUCGUAACAGAUUGUGUUAGUGAGAAAUUUUGGGGUAACACGGGAAGGGUGGUUUCCUGUCCAUCUGCGGGCCAUGCAUGGAGAGGUGAGUUCAAGGAUUCUGAGGGGGAAGGCUAUAUGGGGAUGAGAGCUUCAUGGAUUGUUUAGAAAGAGGUGGUGCUUUUGCAGGAAUUUGGAGCAAAGAAUGCUAGGGAGUUUGCACGGGCGCAUAAGGAUGGGGGGCUCAGGGGGAAGGGCUCAGUUCACAAAGGUUUUGGAGUGGGAGAGGGGUGAAGGGCAAAGGUGGGUGAGAGUUUGGCGGUUUGGGGCUGACCAAGAGCAGUAGAGGGCUCGGGGGAAAGAGAACUUGAGGGUUUGGGAAGGUUAGGAUUGGGGUUUGGGGAAUGGGGAGGGUUGGACUACAGGGUUUGGGGGUUAGGGGGUCGAGCUAGAGGGUUUGGCGGGGUUGUAGGGUUUUACGGGGUUGUAGGGUUGGCAGGGUUAUAGGGCUUGGCGGGAUUGUAGAGUUUGGCAGGGUUUGGGGGAAGGGGGUUAGGGUUUGGGGGUAUCUGUUUUUAGGGUUUUACCCCAUUUGGAAGGAUAUGCCCUGUGGCGAGCGAUUGCACAGGUUAGGCGCGCAGCUAAGAUGGCAACGCUUGUGCUGAGAUGCUGCUGUGUCGCUGCAUGCGUGGAAAUGAACACAUAACUUACGCACCGUACAUUCGGAUAAAACUUGUCCUCAAGCUGGCAGAGCCGCCACCACCCAAAGCGCAGGUGUUGUCUCUGACCACAUAUGAAGCGAAGCCGAAGCAGCAGCGGCGCCCCCAAGCAAUUCAAAGCAAUAUCAUAACACCUGGAAAUCAUGCAUUUAAGCUAUUAUGUUACUCAGAGCAGUGCUGAUGGUGGUUUUCAGGCUGCACGCAACUUAAAGCAUGAUACCCACGAUAAGUUCCCCUAUAUGGCUUCCAAGUAGACGAAUAAUAUAUACUGUUGUACCCACAUACAUGAACGCGCAUAUGCACAUAUGCUCCAACAACUAUGGCAGUUGGAUCCUUCAUCUUCGCUGCACUGUACAUGUCAGCUGCUUAUAUUUGUGAGGCGGUCAGCACCCUCCAACAAUAAGCAUUGUUCCACAUUUUGAAUUUCGUGUACAUUGCCACAUUGUUGUGUGCGGUCUCAUGUCCGGAAUUUUUUGCGAAUGAACACCAUCGAAUGUAUGGUCGUAUGUGGCAGUCUCUCCGCCUUCGGUGAGAUACCCGCACACGACUCAUUUUAGGUUGCAAAGGUGAGCCUGGUAAGGGUCCCAUGCUGCCUUGCAGGCACUUCGUGCGGUGUGUGUCGCUUUUUUUGCAUGCAUGGCCUGCCAACAACAUCAGCAAAAGCACCCACAAACACCCACACCCACGGAGUGCACGGCUUAUAAGCCAUUGCAAAAGGACAUGGACAAUGCAACUUAUGUUUGAAUGUAUGAAUGCACACCCCACAGGUUUUGUGUACCGCCCCCUUUCCUUCUUUUGACACGGACGUUGCACAUUCCAAAAUGGUUUUUGUCGACUACUCGUACUACUAGCAAAAGGUUAGCCAUUUUUUGGUGCAAUUUUCUGGGACAGUGCAUAUUGUCUGUGCCUUGGACACCUCCGUCUUCUGUCCUGUAACAAGCUAUCAAAGUACUCCUGCUGGUAAAAGUACUAGGUAAAAGAGCAUCCUGUGGUGUCUGCAUGACUUACCUAUCCUGACUGCGAUCACAUCUGCUUUUGCGCUCAUAGUGUUGACCCACAAGGCCCCAAGGUGUGGUCAUCCAUAUAGCUAUGGGUCCUGCUGGUGAAAGAGUGGCCAUCAUGGCCAAGAAGAAGAAACCGCCCACAUUUUCCCCACAACACACAGUGAGUCCUCUUUUUGGGGCCACAACCACUCUGCAGCUGUUUUUGGGGUUCACGAAAGUAUUAAAGUAUUAAAUAUGGCCAUACCAGGGGGUAUUUGGAAAGUUAUGGCCAAAAUAAGGCAUAGAAGGCAAUUUUCUCAAAAAUGAGCAAAGAAGUGGGGGAAAAAAGACAAAACUAUAUAUGUCUUUGAAAACUGCAUCAGUUGGUGAUUUCAAAAGUACCUGCUUGAGGGGUACCAAAAAAGUUAUGGGCCAAAAAUGGAGACCCUGGCUUAACUAGGCAUUCAUUUACCCCUUCUGGAAGGGUAUGCCCGGAAGCAGAAGCCCUUGAUAGGGGGGUCAAUCGAUCACAUUUUUCACGUAGAAUCUGUUUAUGCUAUUAAAGAUGGCCAUAGCAGGGGGUAUUUGGAAAGUUAUGGCCAAAAUAAGGCUUAAAAGGCAUUUUUCACUAAAAUGAGGAUUGGUGUGGGGGUAAAAAAGACAUAACUAUUUAUAUCUUUGAAAACAACAUCAGUUGGUGAUUUCAAAAGUACCUGUUUGAGGGGUACCAAAAAUGUUAUGGGCCAAAAAUUGAGACCCUGGCUUAAGUAGGCAUUCAUUGUUUCUACAUUUUGAGUUCCGAAUGACUUCUUUUUAGAUAUAUGAUAUAAAAAUGUUUAUUAGAGACAUGUUUCAUGUUUAAACCAUGGUUAGCUUGCUGUUCACCUGCUUAUCACCUUGCCAGCUAACCCAUUUUCAAGAUUACCCAUCAUCUUGCCAGCCUGCCAGCCUGCCAGCCUGCCAGCCUGCCAGCCUGCCAGCCUUUCCAGCCUUGCCAGCCUUGCCAGCCUGCCAGCCUGCCAGCCUGUAAGCCUGUAAGCCUGUAAGCCUUGCCAUUCUUGCCAGCCUUGCCAGCUUUGCCAGCCUGCCAGACUGCCAGCCUUGACAGCCAUUCCAGCCUUUCCAGCCUGCCAGUCUGCCAGCCUUGCCAGCCUUGCACUCUGGGAAAGGUUUUCACCCGUAAAUUCAUGUUUACCCGUAAUCACGUGGUCUUCACAUGUAAUUACCGGCCAAGAAAAUUUGUAAACAUGCUUAUUUUUAAGUUGCCAAAGCAUUCCUUUUAUAAGGAAGAACAUAGGUGACAUUUUCUUGGUUGCCCGUGCUGGAAGUCAUCCACAGUUUACAUUACCCGUAAUCACAAGGUCUUGACCCGUAAUCCCCCAAGCCGUAAUGCACAGCACCCGUAAAAUUUCACGGGCUUAAUUGCGACGAAGACGUGUUGUGUGUGUGUGUGUUACAUGGUUGGGGGUGCGUGACCCCAUACCUGUAAGAUUACCCAUACGAGCCGAGGGCCCAAGGGUAAUACUACAACGCCUAAAAGCCACGGAGGAAAGGAAAACACCGCACAUCAGCCCAGACUAGCGUCUAAAGGGGGUAAUUGAGUUUCGGUGAGCCCACAUACGUUCCAAUUUCCUCGCCAGACGUGCGGGUUCCCAUUGCAUGGCCUCCAACAUGCUCUGUUGAUGAUCGAAUCCUUCUUCAGCACGAAUAUCAUUAUAGGCUGGGCAUUCCAAUAACAGGGGUUCACAUCCUCAAUUCGGCUAUUAGUACCACAACAGUGGCAAAACCGCUGCGCCCCCUGGGGACGUGGUACUUGCCCCUUCAUGCUCUGUUUGCCUCCAAAGCCCAGCAACAAAAACGAAACUGCAUUACCUUACUAUAUGCUAAACGAGGAAUGAAAACCUUAGCAUGUGUUGGCCACAGGACGGCUGCGGCUCCCGAAAAGGGCAGCCCCAUCCAGUGCUUAUACUUCGCCAUUGUGAUCCAUCUUCGUAUUUGCUGAGCGCGUCUGCCUGCUGCUGCUGUUCCCGGCUGCGUGGGUACCACACCACUGAAAUGUCUGUGUCCGUAUCCGUGCAGAGGCGAUGGAUCUCCGCCACUAUGGGCAGGCAAGCGGUGUUGCCUUUCAUCCCAACCAUGCAGAAUUCCGCCGGUUGGCUGUCCGUCUGGUAUUGCACUGUCCGGCCAUACAACAGGUUCGGUGCCUGCUCUCACAACCAGUGCAAGCUGUACAGCAGCGCCCGCAGUUCUCUUUCUGUGCUGCUAAAGUCAUUCCGCUGCAGCCGCUGGGUUUCCUGAGCUUUGAAGGGCACAAGCAUGCGGCUGUUGGCGCCCAGUUCUUCUCCAGGUAAGAAGGCUGUGAAGGCCCUGUCUGAGGCGUCCCCGACUAGUUCCGUCAUCAGUCGUAGGGCUGGUCCUUUCCGCCAGGUGGCUGUCCCGUUGCGCCUGCCCAGCAGCUCCAUAAACAAGCCUGCCUGGUGUAGCACCUCCGCCGGGUCCCAAACCUCUUCAUCCCACGCCACGCCCCGGGCUACACGCCACACCAUCCACGCAUACAGGGGUGCCAUGGUGACGGCGGGCGUCAUGGCGAUGAUUUUGCCGGCCACCUGCGCCACCUGCCGCACUGUUAGCCAUUUGCCUUCGAGCUGUGUGAGCAGCGUACGGAAUCUAGCUAGCUUGUCAUCUGGUACUCUGAAUGCUUGCGCCUCCGCAUCCACCUCCAUCCCCAAGAAACAGACUCGCCUUCUUGGGAUCAGCUGGCACUUGGACAGGCUGAGGGUGAAGCCUAGGGCUGCCAGCAGCCGUACCACCGCCCCACACUCAUACUGUGCCGCGGCCUUCGACCCCGCGGCACCCAUCUGGUUGUCUAUCAGGAAAGACAUGCGGACCCCUAGCUGCCAUAAAGGCUGGAAAACCUCGAGCUUCAUGCUUGUGUACAAGUGGCAGGCCGGCGCCAGGCCGAACGGCAGGUGUGGCCAAAAAAGCGUCUGCCCCCGCCACCGCAUAGCCAGAUAUGUGUGCUCCCGUUCGUGGAGUGAUAGCUGCCAGUACCCACUCUUGUGGUCCGUGGUGUACAGCCAAUCUUCCAGUAGGAGGUAGCUAGGUACAUCUGCCAGUCGUUCAUACUUCACAGGCCGGUACUUCAAGAAACAGUUAAUGUACAUCGGAUUAAUACAGAGGCGCAGCUUGCCGUCUUUUUCCACUACCCGCAAGCCAUUGAUAACCGUGGGGGGGGGCGCGUCUGCUGGCCAUUUCCGUAUCACCCCUCGGUCAAGGGCCUUUCUCAAUUCGGCUGUAACAAACUCACUGUGCUGAGUCGCGCUGCGAUGGUUAGGAAACUGCACGGCUCGCGGCCGGUCACCCGCCAUGAUAAAGUCUAGGUCGCAAUCCGGCGCCGCGACCCGCAGCAUUUCCUGCACUAUAGCUAGCUUGCAUCCCAGCUCCGGGGCUAGUUCUUGCCCUGGGUAGUCGCACGGCACCCAUUCCAGCUGAAUUCCGCCCUGCAGGUAUCCCAGCCACCGUUUCUGUUUGUCCGUGAGGGGCCGGCCUUCGUUAGCUGCCUGAAAGAACACUUGCCACACUGCAACAUGUAGACGUAUCCUUCCUGCUUGGAAGUCUUCAGGAUCUGGGAGCAAACAGACGACCUCUUCGAGAAACUCCUGUUCAUCCCGCGGAUGUACCGGGUCCUGUUGCCCCAGCCGCUGCAACCUCUGCCAGGCUUCCUGUAGCAGCUGGAGUGCCUCCCUGCCCCCAGCGUUGCGGGCACUCGCUUCCCAGGCUGGUGCUAGUCCUACACCGCUGGAUUUCCGCCCUGUCGGCUGGUGACUCACCCACUGGUCGUCUUCGCAAGGGUCAUCUUCCAACGACAGCAACUCAGUCGGAUCCCUUCCGUCGCCAUCCUGAGUGUCUGCCGGGUAACCCACAUCAGGUUUCCUGUCAUCGUCCCUUGCCGUUCCCUGCGUGCUCUCAGUCGACCUGGUUAGCAUAGGCCUCUGGGCUUGGGUCUCCUAUACACCGAAUAAUAACCGGUGGGGCGGGAAACAGGAUAAGAGGGUCUUGGAGCUUACACUUAGGUGUCCAAAAGGCAGAGCUGCCCUCUUCCAUACCAAGCUCCGCACCCUGCUGUCCCCAGCCCCUGAAAUGGCAGUCAUGAGCCGCCCGUCCAACACCUGGACCGCGGCAGGCUUUUAUUCCAGCCGUUCCCACCGACAGAACCGGCCCACCAGCAGCUAUGAGACCAGAACAGUCGUGUCGGCAGCUGCACGUGGUGCCUAUUCGAGGCACACACAGAGGCCAAUGUCGGGCGUGGGGCCACCAUGCGCUUCCAUGGCUACACCCAAGCAGUCAGCCAGCACUUCGUAAAGCGGAAUGCAGGCAAGAGCCUGAAGGUCGGCGCCCGGGCUCUCAAGAAGACCCAUCGGCAUUUCGUCAGCAUGGGCAGUGUCAUGCAGGCAAUGUACAGGAUGCUCCACCUUGGGACUCCACACAAGAUCACGCAGAAGCAGUUCAAUGAGGCGGCGCUCCAGACUGGGUGCAAGGGCCUGACUGCCUUUGCGGCCCUGCCGUACGUCGACCUCGACCUGUCGUGCCUCUUCACUGUCUCCACCGGCCAUGCCCUGCUGUUCGGAGUGGUCAGCGACUUUGUGGACUACACGCUGAAGUCGCUCAAAGACAUCAAGCCAGCAGACCCAGAUGCCAAGCUGGUCAUGUCUCGUGAAGCACGCCAGCGGGUCGUGGCCCGCAGCCAGUUCCUGGUCGUGACUUCGGACUUCAGGCGGCGGUACAAAUGCAUCAUGCAGUACCGGUGAGCACGGCCAGCACUGGGCAGCCGGCCACACACAGGGGUCGCUAAUAGCCGAGAAAGCCAAUACGACCAGGGGCUUGCCUGAAAAAAACACCUUCGUCUGUCAGAGAGUUUGCUACUCUACCUAUGUAAUGUACUUCUUCUAGUUACACGGUUGCUCGCCACACUGCCCCCCUCCACCCAUGCAGCAAGAGCUACCACAUGGAGGACUGGCUGCACUUCGUUGAGAUGUUCUCCAGCUACAUCUUCAAGGGGGACGUGCUGCCCGAGGCCUUGUGGGCCCUGUGUUGGAGCCUGUGCAGCACGGUCACACACUACUUCUGGCCGCGGCCCCCCGACGAGACCCGUGAGCAGUUCCUGGUGGCAGCCAAGGCGGCUGCAUGCAAGCUCAGAGCUUACACGACCAGGCUGGAGGAGUUGGAGGUGCCAGGCUACAUGUUCACGGUCAACCUGCAUAUCUGCGUAUGCCGGCUGUAUGACCAGGAGUGCCAGCUUGGGUCCACGGCAGGGUUCUCCGACCUGCCGGUGGAACGCAUGAUGCAGCAAAUGAAGACACAAGGCGGAAGGAUGGUGUCACAGGCACCCGAGAAGCACUACAUGCAGUGGCUGUGCCUGAUGUGGGCCUCCGAGUCGCUCACAGAGGCAGACCCUGUGACCGGGGCCAAACACACGACCAACCAGCAGCUUGAGAGGAUGUUGGCACGGCGUGCAGUGAACACCGAGGCUGCCUGGUUUGAUAAACCAGGAGCCAACGGUUACCUGCUUGGAUGAGGCCACAUGGUCUACCCGAGUCCAGAACAGGUGGCACAAGUCCGGGCAGCCAUGGCGAGCCUAGUGCACUGGUAUGCCCUGGCAUUCAAGGAUGUGGCUUCCUGGACAUUGGGUCCCAGUGCGAGCUACGAACUGGACACGGACCGCCUGGAUAGGGUUCUCAUGCCUACACCACCCGACUGUCCCAAGGCCCGCUCCUUUUUGCGUGCCGAGGCACUCAACGAGGAGCAGUACUUCGGGGCUGAGUAUGGGUGCCAGCAGCAGCGGACCUCCUGCUGGGCAUGCUACCAGGCAGAAGUCGGCAACAAGACUCGGACGUAUGCAGCCUACCUCAAGUACUUCGUCCACCUGCCCGCAGAAGAUGGCGCUCAGGAUGUCCGCUUCACUGUGGCAGAUGUGUACUCGGGACAGGUGUUCAGCAGGGGGCUGGUGGUGGUCAACAUGGCGGCCACCCAGACAGCGAGGGCAGGCAGCCAGUGGGAGAUGUGGCAGGACCUAGGGCUGCCGCUAAGUGAGCUGAAGGGCAAGUUCUGCACAGCCGCCCCGGAGGGGGACCGAAAGGGGCUGAUGUACUUCAUGCCAUACACACACUUCACCAACCGCUGAGCAACCGCAGCAAUGAGGCCGAUGGAUGCACCCUUGUCUGGUUGAUAACGAAUGACUACGAAAGUUAUCCCAUGCACAUGUGCAACAGAUGGCACGCAUGUACAUACAUAUGCAGGCGUAUAUGCGUAAAGGCACACUGGCAGUCCAUAUGCCCGUAUGGAGUUUCGGUUCAGUACUCAAAUGGCUUCACAUUCUGCAUUGUUGGAAAGAGUGCCGACAGUGUAAGGUGCGAGGCAGACACCGCCACAGCAGUAUCGGCGGGACUAGUACGACUGGUUGCUGACUGUCCAGUUCACUUGAUGUGUGCUUGCUGGUCACAAAGUGGACGGCACCCACGUUUCAAAGGAGUGGCCCAGAUGCGCCAUCCCCUAUAACAAACACGGUUGUUCCAAAAGGGUUACAAUUGUGACCGAAUUAACACAUGUGUCAGCCAUCAUUGUCACCCAUGCCUUCGCUUCCAUGUGUUUCUUCUCCACCCAUGCCACCAGCUUCUCUACUGACAGCACAUUCCCCUCCAAGCAUGCAGUCGUCGAGUGGAUACAGUGUAUCCUUCUGCAACCAUCCUUGAGACUUGUGCCGGUAUGAGCCGGCUGCCUUGUAACCCUUUUGGAACACCCAGACCACACAAAGGGUUUAAGACAAAAAGCCUCCCAUUGGGUAUUCACCCUAAUCAGCCCUGGCAGCCGGUACUCUGAAUUAAUGUGACACACACGUGAACCUGCCCCCUCCAUCGUCAAUCCCCAUCAUCACAAGGCCACCUGAUUUGCCGCCUUAAGGCAAGCUUGUGUAUGGCCCUCUACAAGACGGGGGGCCCGGUGAGGUCAGCCGCCAGUAGCUCCUUGUACCCAGGGCGGGAAAACACCUUGGGGUAGACGGGGCCGAAUGUUAGCGAAGCAGCCUCUACCCACAGAAGCCCCUCAAUGAGCGUGCCAGUGGGCCACUCGCAGGGAUACACAUAACAGAUUGAACAGCGAAAAGAAACGAAGGUCCACGCGAACCUCGCAGAGAUAGUACUGAUGGCGAGCUGGCGGUAUUCUAGUAUGGGCGCCGUACUUGUAUACUUGCAUGUCAUCAGCCAAGUCUUAUCAUGACCUGCCUCGCUGUCUAUGUUCUUGUAUUCCAUUGUUAUACCUGAUACAGUUUACACUAGCCACGACUCUAGGAUACAGGACGGACCAAUAGCUUCCGCACCGUCUUGACCUGAACAAGUGCAACUCUAUAGUUCCAUAAGCUGGAAAAUGGAACAAGACUUUCCCGGAAGUAUUGAACUCCGGUGUGCUUUAGGGGAUUCCUAUGAACAUCAGAGCCUAAACAUGAUACCGCUUAGUUUUGAGCUGGGAGGUAACAUGAUAUCAGCUAGCAUGUUCAAGGAGCAGAAUGCAAUGUAUUACUUCAAAGGCUGUUCGGGAUCAGCCAGGAGGGCCUGGCCAUCGGCGGGCCCACGCCUGGCAAGGCGACCGCCACCAGCAACUUCAUGACGCAGUUUCAGAAGAAGGUCUUGGACAAGAUCCUGCGACCGUCGACUAUCACUGCAGACCACGGUGCUGUGGCAGCCGCAGUGGGAGCUGAGGCAGUGGAUACUGCGGCUAACGACGGUGAUGGUGCAGCAGCGAGAGCAGCCGCUGGGGACCACGAACAGGCGGUGGGUGGUGGAGAGGCUGCUGCCAUGGGCACGCAUGCCGUGGAUGGUGGCACGGGUGGCGGCCGCACAGCAGGCAUCGCAGCAGCAGCAACCGCAGGGGGGGACACCGGCACGGGUCCCAGGCAGGGCAAGGCGGGCGUUGCCCAGGUAGAAAACCUAGCAGUUUGGAACCUGGGGAGCAUGUUUAACAAGGUCGGGGGGUGCUGAUGGGUUAUGUCAACUUUCAAUGUCAGGGCAGCUUGUUGGGUCUUACCCUGAUAUUUUACCUUGAAUGUAAGCACUGGGUGUUGCUGCCCCCCCCACCAUAGGAUGAGGAUACCACCAACUAUGAUGCAUUCAAGGAGUGGGUCGGCGAGGUGCCAAGAGCGGCUAAGGGCGCAGCUGGCAAGCGCAGGCGGGGUGGCGGUGAUGACGACAACCUGGGUGCGAGGUCGGGGCGCAAGGUUGGAAAUAAACGGCAGAAGGGGAACAAGGGCGCAGGCCGGGGCAGGGGUGCAAGCAAGGGGACCACCAGAGGUGCGGGGAAGGGCGGCGCAGGCAAGGGAGGGUGGAGGGGGCGGACAGAGGAGGGUAGCUCGGAGGGUGGGUCGGAUGCUGGUGAGGAAGAGGUCCUAGCCGCUGGCGCUGGGGAGGAGUCCAGCUCGGAGGACCCGGGCAAAUAUAGCGAAGCUAGCAGCAGCAGCAGCAGUGGCAGUGGCAGCAGCGACAGUGGUGGAAGUGAGCAGUAAUAUGGCAGCAGUGAUGAGCGCUUGGGGGUGCACACACCAGGUCGGCCCCAGGCAGGAUGGGACAGACCAAUCCCAAUAGGUGCCGGUACAUGUCAUGCAUCGGGGGUUUCAUCCGUAGGAGUAGGCACGAACUCUGCAAGUGGUGGUGAGACUCCUUGGCGAGCACUUGCUGUAUGGGGGGUGACAUGAACGCUGUUUUCGAGGACGAUGGGUGAGAUGAAUGCAUCAGGCUGUCAGGCUGGCUGGUUGGCGUUGUGAGUCCAAAGCGCCUUGGUCCACAAGCACACUGAGACUUAGGCUACUUUGACAAGGGGUGUGCGUCCAUUUUGAGGCUUGCCGCAAGUAUUCACCAAUCGUUAAUUUAACAUGCAGUAAGCAUCACAUCGCAGAGUAAUAUCUGCCUGUCUAACCCGUGAUUACAGGGUCUUCACCCAUAAUUGUACGUGUAAUUGGUUACAUGCCCCGUAAUUUACCUGCAGCACCGCGUAAUAUUCACCCGUAAUCACUGGGUCUUUACCCGUAAUUUUGCGUGUAAUUCGUUACAUGCGCCCGUAAUUCACCUGUAGCACCGCGUAAUAUUCACCCGUAAUCACUGAAUCUUCACCCGUAAUUUUGCGUGUAAUUGGUUACAUGCACCCAUAAUUCACCUCCAGCACCGCGUAAAAUCCACCCGUAAUCACUGGGUCUUCACCCGUAAUUUUGCGUGUAAUUGGUUACAUGCGCCCGUAAUUCACCUCCAGCACCGCGUAAAAUCCACCCGUAAUCACUGGGUCUUCACCCGUAAUUUUGCGUGUAAUUGGUUACAUGCGCCCGUAAUUCACCUCCAGCACCGCGUAGUAUCCACCCGUAAUCACUGGGUCUUCACCCGUAAUUUCGCGUGUAAUUGGUUACAUGCGCCCGUAAUUCACCUCCAGCACCGCGUAAAAUCCACCCGUAAUCACUGGGUCUUCACCCGUAAAUGUUCACCCGUAUCCUUGUGCUCAAAUUACGGGACCGGUAACGUGUUACGGACCCGUAAUUUCUGUCAAAUUACGGGUGGAUUGACCCAAAAUUACGGGUAAAAUGACCCCCCUUUUCCCAGAGUGUUGCCAGCCUUGCCAGCCUUGCCAGCCUUGCCAGCCUUGCCAGCCUUGCCAGCCUGCCAGCCUGCCAGCCUGCCAGCCUGCCAGCCUGCCAGCCUGCCAGCCUGCCAGCCUGCCUGUAACGACGCAAAUGCCAAUCUGAGCAUCCCGGGUUACGCCUUUGCUGUGUUACAAUGGUAUCGAGACGGGACCGCACGAAUUCCGAAAUAAACUUCGGGUCGGCGGUUCGAUUCUGGCAACCAGCAAGUCGCAAAUUGGCGAUUUCAUGGUGUAAUGGAUAAACCAGCGCACUGGCGCGAGGUGGGAUGGCUCCUGUGCUCGAAAUAAUGGCCGAGGACGUCCAUUGCUAAGUGGGGGGCAAUGUAACGACGCAAAUGCCAAUCUGAGUAUCCCGGGUUACGCCUUUGCUGUGUUACACUGCCAGCCUGCCAGCCUGCCAGCCUGCCAGCCUUUCCAGCCUUGCCAGCCUGCCAGCCUGCCAGCCUGUAAGCCUGUAAGCCUUGCCAUUCUUGCCAGCCUUGCCAGCUUUGCCAGCCUGCCAGCCUGCCAGCCUUGACAGCCAUUCCAGCCUUUCCAGCCUGCCAGUCUGCCAGCCUUGCCAGCCUUGCCAGCCUUGCCAGCCUUGCCAGCCUUGCCAGCCUGCCAGCCUUGACAGCCAUUCCAGCCUUUCCAGCCUGCCAGUCUAGGGUUUUAGGGAGUACACACGGGGGGAAAGAAUGGGCUAUUGCAGCGAAGCAACGCCCCAGAUGAGUGCUAAAAACNGGUGCAUUAGAACAUGCAUAUUUGAAGCUUAGCCUAACGUUGUCCUUNNNNNNNNNNNNNNNNNNNNNNNNNNNNNNNNNNNNNNNNNNNNNNNNNNNNNNNNNNNNNNNNNNNNNNNNNNNNNNNNNNNNNNNNNNNNNNNNNNNNNNNNNNNNNNNNNNNNNNNNNNNNNNNNNNNNNNNNNNNNNNNNNNNNNNNNNNNNNNNNNNNNNNNNNNNNNNNNNNNNNNNNNNAGGGAGGGUGGGGGAACGGGGCUGGGAGGGUCGAGAGGGUCGGGGCACGGGGGUUGGCGGGGUAUGGGGGAUAGGGAGGGUCGGGGAAUCGGGGUUGGGAGGGUUGGGAGGGUCGGGGAACGGAGGUUGGCGGGGUAUGGGGGUUAGGGAGGGUCGGGGAAUCACAUUUCACAACUCACUUUUCAUGUCCCCCCCUCCCUUUGCCCCCUAAGGCCUGCCACACCAGGGAGGACGUGGAGUGCUGGCACUUCUCCUCAAAGUUACCAAACAGCAUAUAAAGGGCAGCGGGUUCUCUGUCUAGAUCUUUUGCAUGGGGGAUCUUGGAAAACCAAACCAGCAAACCUACAUGGCUGGUGUAGCUACACAAACAAAAGCCUUUUUAUCCCCCGGUUUCCGAGCUUAAGUUUUCCCAAAGCUCUCAGCCCAGUGCAGAGAGACUGUACGUCCUGUACUUGAUCAAGUACUGCACAUACAGUCUCUCUGCACUGGGCUGUGAGCUUUGGAAAAUAUAAAAGAUACCCGUGGGAGCAUUUUUUAGUCAUGAAGCUUCAGACUUAAGUCAGACUCUUCAUCUAUCUUCAUCUAGCUAUCCAUGCCUACGUACCUAAUCUAUCGAGAUAGACAGACAAACAGACAGAUGGGUAGUUGUAUACAAACAGACAGGCAGACAGGCAGACACAAGCAGGUGAUGUUGGGGUAACAAAAACACACAGACAACCACACAAUCACAGCACUGUUGGGGCACAUGGUGGAGUUGGGGUAACAUGAAAACAUGCACACACACAGACAGAGAGAGAGAGACACACACACACACACACACAGAGAGAGAGACACACACACACACACAUACAGAGAGAGAGAGAGACACACACACACACACAGAGAGAGAGAGAGAGAGACACACACACAUACAUACAUACACACACACAGAGUCUCACACACAUACACACACACAGUCUCACACACACAGUCACACACAUACACGCACACAGUCACACACACACAGUCUCACACAUACAUGUACACACACACAUUGUAGCAAGCUACAUUUCCCUUAGAAUAUUUCAACGAUUACUCUUGACAAUAACUGUUAUUUCGUUAACGAUUCGACUCGAGUUUCGUACAUGUUAUGAGUUUCGUCACAUGUCUCGAACAUGGCGGUUGUUCGUAGCAAACCUAAUGGGCUGGGGCCCCGGGGCCCCACCGACAUUAUCCUAGUACGGCAGGACCAUGGUAGGGAAUCUCCGGCAGGUAGGCCGAGAUAUAAGCUACCCGGGUGGGGUGCACUGGCCAGACACUGAAGUAUCACGAAUACUAGGUGUUCGGAGUUCAAGACUCCGCUGCCGCCAUAUAGAUUGUUUUUGUAUACACGUCUAUGCAGACUAGUGCUUGCCGCUGGGUUGGUCUCCUUCCUGCCUCGGCGAGGACUGUCAACUCAACGCUUCCGGGUAACAGGCUGUUGGGAGUUAGAGAUUGAUCAACGUCAUGACCAACCUAACAGCUGUGAGCACACAGCACGCACCUGCAGGCUUUGUGACUGCAGGGCGGUUCAAGGCGAAAUGCAUGCCUUUGUGAAAUGCCCGGCGUACACUAGUACACGGGCUAAGUACGAACAUGACCUCGCGUUUCAAGGGUACAACAUGCGCACGAUUUGACUGAGGCCCCACCCCUGGCACUAGCCAGGUUCCCCUCGGAAGUCUGGGAGACCCGGCACGUUGCUCUAUGGCGCUUCAUAUGCUCAAGUGGACGAGGGAGGACAAUGAUGGUCCACCAUGUAACUGCACUUCAAACGAUUUACCGUCCAUGGGCACGCCAGCUUUUAUGUACAACCCCGCACUUGUAUGGAACUUGUAACACACUCAAACACAUACAAAGACAGACACACAGACACACCCACCCACCCAUUUCAGUCAAACACACACACACACACACACACAGACAGACAGACACACGGACAGACAAACAGAGACAGACAAAAGGAGAGACACAGAGACAGACACACAGACAGACAGAGACAGACACAGAGGCAGACACACAGACAGACAGACACGCACUAUGAGAAGGGGUGAUCGCGUUACGUCGCGUUAAACUCGCGUCACGGGGCAUUAACGCGCUUUUUACGCGACGCAAACGCGAUUUUAUGCACUGUUCA